rnacentral:lncRNA from 1 species
CUUUGUUUGUCAGGUUAAUUUAGCAAUGGAGAUGAAGGAUCAAGGUGUCAUUGGCAUUGAUCUUUCUGGCAAUCCAGUUGUGGGGGAGUGGUAAAAUAUUCUGUGCCUGUGUUGAACUAAGUGGAUACAUCCUACAUAAUUUUUGUGCUGACAUUCCUGGGAUUUUUAAACAUUUAUGAAGGGAGACAUACUUGCCUGCCCUGGAACAUGCUAAAGAGCUUGGAAUCCCCAUUACAAUUCACUGUGGCGAGGUCUGCAAAUAUAUUAGAACAACUUCUGAACCACUCUCUCCUUCUUGAUCAUUAUUUCCCUGCAGAACUAGUUGAUCAAUGAAGUGAAAAACUUGGUGACAACAGGUAGCAAACAGGAAUGAGAUCCGAGCAGUGCUGGACUUCUGCCCACAGAGGCUGGGUCAUGUCUGCUGCCUCAACGACGAGGAAUGGAAGAAGUUGAAGUCGUUAAUGAUUCCAGUGAGCUUUUCUCUCAUUGUCCCUAACCAAUUCCAUGUCACACUCACACACGCUUAAUCCAAAACUGAAAUUCUGCAGGUCGAGAUAUGCUUGACUUCCAAUGUUAUGACCGGUGGUGCGCCUUCACUGGAGCUUCAUCACUUCGGUUUGUCCCUGGCAAUAGUAGUACUUAAAAAAAUCUUGACAAGAACUUUUAAGUUACUGAAUGUUGACAAGAAUUUUUAAGUUACUGAAUGUUGAGAGGAUUUUAAGUUUCUGAAUCUUGACAAGAAUUGAAGUUACUGAAUGUUUGACAAGAAUUUAAGUUGGCUUCCCAGCUGAUUAACAUUUUUGAGUUACUGAAUAUGUGCAGCCGAUCUGUACAACGCGAAGCACCCUCUGUCCCUGUGCACCGAUGAUUCCGGCCUCUUUUCAACGAGCCUCUCAAAUGAGUACUACCUCGUUGCAUCUACCUUCGGUAUGCGCUCUCCUUGAAAAAAGAUCUGCAAAUAGUCUGACAAUUGUUGUUGUUGUGUGUGUGUACAGUACUCUGAACUCUGAAUGCAAAAUCCAAAAUGUGGCAGGUCUCAGCAAGGCUGAGCUGUUUCAACUAGCUCAGGACGCGGUGGAGUUCGUGUUCGCCGGCGACGAGUUGAAGAGGUCUCUGAGAGAGUUGUUCGAGCGCGUCGGGAAGGAGCUGACGACGUAGGGUAAUCCAAGAUGCGUUCCUGUCGAUCGGCGUCGGAACAAAUAAAUGUAUUUAUUAUCCAUGUGGUCUCGAUUGUGAUUUUAGAUUUUCCAUCGUUUCUGCGUUUAUGUUCCCACGGGCGUGUCCAGUUUAAGAGUACAAGCGGCCGACCCGAGAAUCCACCUAUAUGGUGGGUUUGGAUAAUGGGAAAUAAGGGUGGGAUUGGAAUUAGAAAAUAAAUGAAGGGUUAGGAUUAAAUGGAAGAGGGAGAAUGAAUGGUUAGGAUUUAAAAUGGGUGGGAAAUCAUUUCCCUUUCCCAUUUGCCAAACACUACCAUAAUGUAACGGAAAUAAGUGGGUAAUCUAAAAAAAUGGAUUACCCAUUUAUUCGUACUAUGGGUGGAUUCGUGGGCCGGCCCUUGCACCCAGUCCAGUCCCUUCUCCCGCUUGCAAAUCCCGGCGCCGGGGAUGCGAGCACGGUGGAGAUCUCCGGGGAGAGUCGCCACCGCGCGCCUCGCCGGCGAGGACAGAGAAAAGGCGUGGGCCUUCAGUUGGGCCGGAAUGGGAUGGGAUUGCGGCCUUCAAGCGGCCUGUUAUGUAUAUAGGCCGGAACGGGAUUGCAGCUACGUGCGGCCCGUUUAAGUCGGCCGGGGGAGAAUGAAUUCGACCGGAAAUGAGUGGAAGUUGACAUUGAUUUGAAGUUUGUAUUUGAUUGAAUUGAAACAUUGAGCUGGAAUUUUAAAACUACACAAAACAAAGGAUGGAGUCUUUAAACGCUUCCGCUACUAAUGUCGCACAAGGCGGUAAUGAUUUUUCAGAAGAGUAGCGCAAGCAAGUUCCUUGAAGAAACUGUUUGCAAAAAUACAAGUCUUGUUUCGAUCAAAAGCUUCAGGAACUCUAUCGUAGCAACCUCAUAAGGCCACACCUCAGAUCUCAUGUAGUUGUUUUGUACAAAAAAAAAAGGUACGAACUCCAAAACCCCGAAGGCUUGACACAAACUAGAUGCAAAUGCUAAGUCAUGAGAAAAUUUAAAAAAUUGUGGACAGUAAGUAAGGUGUUCUUGCAUCAGCUACUCCUAUUUGGAAGAUUUAGGUUGGUUGUUUACUGCUAGUCUACAAAUAUUGCCGAGAGAGAACAGCUGUCAGGUAAUAACAGAUUUUGAUUGCCGCGGCAUCCUGUCCAGGUGAUCAUUUGUACCAUCCAGUAAUCAUGUACCUCAGCCAAAAGCAGAAUAGGCAUGACAACGCCUGCCAGACAUGAACACAUGGAGUUAUUAUUACCACAGAUUGAAAUUCACACAGCAAGUAUAAUUUGUCAAAAAAGCGAUAGUAACGGACAGCGAUAUGUUUAAGUAGCAUGGGGCUACUAGAGAGAGGAUUGGAUCUCCAAGUAAUAAGGAUAUCAAUGUCAAGAUAUCUGAAAAGUGAUUCCAUUUGAACCACCAUUAUACCAUAUAAUAACAAAUGUGGAUUAGUUACCGUUAUCCAAAAAAAAUAAAUUUGUGGUUUAAGGAAAUCUAGUGACCACAAAAAAGCAGAUAGGAUAAACGGAUGGCUUAAUUCAAAGAACUUAUUCCUCAUUUAAUGUUGUUAUGCAUAGCACAAAGUUUUAGCUGGGAUUUUGUUUGCAGAUAUUCCUUGUGUACUGACAUUUGCACGAACCCUAGGACAAGGCUUAGCCAUAACCAUAAUGGAGUAGAUUUGCAAAUACCAACUACUUUAUUCAUGAUAACUUCCACAAUGAAACAAAAUGAAAUCAGUAGUUUGUAGUAGUUUAUAGCAUCAAUGCAUUUAGAUUUUACCUGAAAUAUGAGCAGCCUUAUGCAAAGGGUCCUCUCUGUGCAUCUUCCAAAUAUCCUAAGGAAUAUGUUUACCAAGUUACCAUCUUUGGUACCCGUCAACAGUCCUGUGUGGGGAUCAAACCUGUGGGACGCAAACACAUUUUACAAUAUUUAUCAGAAGUUCAACCCACACCUCAAUAGGUUUUCUGAAAAUAUAUUCUACAUACCUUGGCAACCUGUGCCUUGGGCAGGGAACAAACUUAAACAGCUGUAGCAAAUAGAAGCACAAAUUAAAGUGUAAGCAGACCAAAUGCCUAAUUAACUAAAGAAGAUAUUGUAUCAAUUGAGAGGAAAAUAAAAAAAAUGAAAUGGAUUCUUCCAUACCUGUGGGACUGAGCACAGAAAGUUAAGAACCUCAGGUAAAAAGAAGAGCAAUAAUGUCUCGCUGCAAGUAGAGAAGAGUUAUUGAUCAGCUGCAGUUGCUAAUCAGUAUUGGGUAAAGCAAACUGUAUGCACAACGAGCACAUGCUAGAAACAUCAGACAGAUGCACAUAGAAAGUAUUGAUGGCACAAGAGAAGCCUACACAGUUACGCUUCCAGGAUAUAUAAUUGUAUGGAUGGUACACAGGAAGUUCAACAGGCAACAUACUUAACAUUUCAAAACUAGAUAUUAAAUCCAACCAACACUCUGUGGGCUGUACUAGACCAAGAGGACCAUCCCAAAAGAUCACCAUUUACAUGCUUUACAUUAUAUGUGGCAGAAGAGGUAAGAGAACGGUGAGAAAGUGCAAGGAGGAAAGACUUAAAUGUGCAUGAAGCUAGAACAAAGAUUCUUGACUGUACUUCACUACAGAAUGCAGGCUGUUAAUUGCAUAUCCUUCCAUAUCACAAACAACCACUCCAGAUGAAGCUCGCUAAGUGCUUCUUGUUUUCUUUAUUGAUAGAUAAUAACGGAACAUGUUUUUUAGACUAAAGGUCAGAGACCCGGCUUUUAAUCGAAAGCCACAUAGGCAGAGUCUUACAACUGGGGAUACCAGCGAAACAGAGGAGCAUAACAUAGUUUAAACACAAAACUCAGGACACAACUCAGCACGCUAAUUCAGGCAGACAAAGCAAAAGCAUCAUUACACAGGACAGAUUAAGUCACAACCAAAGGAUAAUAACGGAACAUGUAAGGGAUAACUGAGGACGUUUACCUGAAAUGACCCAAAAUUCCCACCACAGCCAAUGCCAUUCCAGAAAAAUAGGUGUAGGUAUCACCAACGAAAACAGAUGAAGGAUACCUGAUACACACACAUACAAAGUCAUUCUUUCUGAAACAAAGCAAAAGAACUUUUUUCUUUAAAUAAAUGUGCAUGCUUCCCAUGGUCCUUACCAGUUAAAUGCGAGCAAAGCUAAUGAAGUGGUCAAGAAAGGCAGGACAAGAUAAAUCGAGAAUGCAUGGGCUUGUUGCGCUUCAAUGUCCGUAGAAGAUCCUAUGCGCAUUACAUUAUGUAUCAAAACCUAAAAAAUGUUAUACAACAUCAGUAGACAAAUAGAAUUUGGGUUACAAAAUUCUCAUCGACAGAUAUUUUGUUCAUACCGCAGCAGAUAUAAUAACUGUCUGCCCAACUUCAAGACCAUUCAGGCCAGCAUGUAUAUUGAUCGAAUUUGUACAAAAGACUGCUAAUAGGAGCAUAAAGAGCUUGUACAGAGAACCUGCAUAUGGAAGACAAUGUCAGGUCAGUGCAUUGUAUAGCUAUUUGCUAGCAAUAAUAGAAUGAAGGUUCAUCCAUAGAGUUAGGUUGAAACUUGCAUAAAGAAAGCAAAUAAGCAAAAUGAAGAAGUAUAUCACAGAUGCACUGGCUCAAAAAUCCCUUCUUUCAUUCAUUUUAUCUUCAACAGAUUUAGGUCACUUGUGGAAGAAGCAUUUAAAGUGGUUCACUGGAAUGAGUACUGAUGGUAGAUUAUCAUCUAGCACGUUAGCAGUCAGCAUUCACAUAUGAAGCAAAAAAAAAUAGUUGCCAACAAGGAUUAAUAGUGCUAUUACAAAAACGUAGGAUCAAUACUAUAAGAUCCCCCUGUACUAAUUUGCAAGCCUCCUACGACCUACAGGAUUAAGUGAUAUACGAGAUCAUAAAUUGAUGAAGCUAAGUUCCUAUGAAGUAAACCAUCACACAAGUUGACCAGAGUCCAUGUUAGGCCCAAUGUUUCACCAAGUCCCCCUGUCCAACAGAAGUCUUUAUUUAAAAGUUUAUAAGCCCACUGCCUAAAGCAUCUAGGCCCCGGUGUUAAUUUUGGUAAUUAAUGACAAGCGCUAAUUGUGGACUAACCGUUGUCUUUGAGCUAUACAUUUUAAGUCAGGUCCACGUCAUAUGUGCGCAUGGAUGAUUAUCGAUGGAUUAAAAUUGACGGCGCAAAGCAAAGAGAAAGAAGACGGUAAAACUAGUGCUUUAAUUUAGAAUUGAUCGAGGUGUAGGGCGAUCAAAAUUGCUAGUUUAUUUUCUAGUUUCGCCGUACUAUUAAGAGGGGUAAUGACCUAGCAAAGAGAUGAUUGAAUUGCCACAUUAGGUCAUUGCAUUUUCAUUUGUGCUCUCUUUUUCAUCACACACACAUUCACUUGCAAAUUCACUGGGUUCGGCCUGACCAGGGGGCGGUCAGACCGGCCACAUAGUGGCGGUCUGACCGGCGUGCCCUGGCUGGUCUGAUCAGCCCCCAAGCGGGCGGUCUGACCGGCGCAUAAGGCCGGUCUGACCGGCGGCACUUGCCUGGUCAGACCGGCCCCCUGGAGGCCGAGAUGAUGUUGCUCGGGAUGGCCGAUACAGAGCCGACGGAGCCGUAGUCGAUCAGACCGAGCCGAGGCCGGUCUGACCGCCCACUCAACUCCGGUCUGACCGGCCAGGCCGAUGGGGCCCUCUGACAGCACUUCAACGGCUAGUUUUCUAGCCGUUGCAGAGUAGCACGGUCUGACCAGCCACAUACCUCCGGUCAGACCGGCAGAGCACAAAGUUGGGGGAUUUCGCCCCCAACGGCUAGUUUUGGUGGGUGGGAGUAUAAAUACUCCCCCACCAGUAGCAAGGGGACUCUCUUGGCACCCAAUUCAAUUGCAUACAUCCCUUGCACCUCUCUCACACCCACUUGAGCUUUGUGUUCAUCCAUCUAGUGUGUUAGAGGGUUGAUUAGCCAAGAGUCAAGUGCAUUGCUUCCAUUUGUAGAGCUAGUGUGGCACUUGAUUGAUCAUCUCCACGCCGGGUCAUUGCUUGUUACUCUUGGAGGUUGCCGCCUCCUAGACGGCUUGUGGAUGAGUUGCCCGGUGACCUCUCCGAGAAGAUUGUGGAGGAGGCCCGGCGCCGGUUUGUGAGUGGUUUGGAGUUCACCACCUUCGGAGUGAAAGAAGAACUACCCUAGUGAUCGAGGCUUGGGUAGUCCUCUCCGUGGGCCGGCUCCCGCCUUGCCCACCCCUUGACGAAGGGGGCGUGCGGUGGCUUCAUGGUUGAGCGGUGGAGUUGGACUCGCCUCAACGGGGAGUAGGAAACCGGCGAGUUUCCGAACCUCGGUGAAAAAUCUCUUGUCUCCUUGUCUCAUUUGAUUGUCGCAUUUACAUUUGUGCAAAUUUACUUUUCUAGAAACAAACUAGAGAUCAUAUCACCCUAAGAUUACUAAACAUUGACAUAGGAGUGUGAUUUACUUUCCUAGAUAUAUAGUUGAGCCACAAUCACCCUAGGUUUGCAAAACAUAACUUAGUUGCUUAGUUAGAGUUGACCCUCACCAAGCCUAGCAACUUAGGUUAGUUUUGAUUAGGUGUCAUUUAGUUUUAAAUCGCCUAUUCACCCCCCCCUUCUAGUCGACAUCUCGAUCCUACACUGCCACUGACCUGAGGGACAUGCCUACUUAUCAGUUACACGGAUAAAUUUAUUUGGACCAAGAAAUAACAUUGAGGGCUUAUUUAGAACAUUGGGUGACUGGAAAAGCUAAAUUCUUACAGAGGACCUUGGUGAAAGGAAAAAGUGAAAUAGCUCCAGCAGACCAUACUUACUGAUUGUUCCAUAAAUUCUCAUAAAAAAUAAUAGCCAGUACUGUGGUACUUUCAUGUCACUGAUAAUCACAAUUCUAAAUGAUAUAGGUCGUAAUUAAGAGAUAGUGUCUAGUAACUGCAUCAGUGCAUACAAAAAAGUUAGUGAAAUUUGAUGAAAUUUCACCAAUUACUUUAAGUAAGGAAAGUAUCAAUUCUCCCACCUUCCAACAAAGAUCAUCAGUGCUGCAACCAGAAUUAAAAUAUUGCGCAACUAAUGAAUAUUCAUCAUCACAACGUUAGCUUAUUUUGGACUUAUCAACAUACCUAGCUCCAGAACAGCUACUCCAACAUAAGAUGUUAGAGGCUUUGGAAUGCUGACGGAAGUACCACCAGCAUAUGCCAUCAGCAAAGGAAGUGCUGCAAUUGUGGGUAGUAGAAGUUUCCUGUUGAACACAGACCAUUCCAAAAUAAUGUUAUUAUCAUAAAAGGGAAGAUAAUAGUACAUCAUCGGAGUAAACUGGAAGGCAUUAUGAAAAACAACAUACACUCUCCAUGGAACAUCAAGAACAUCAUCAAUAAAUCCAAGAAGCACCAUAAAGCAGACUGAUGCUAGUGCCGCGUUGUAUUCAACAAGCCACUGCAACAAGGAAGUCAAAAACAGUAAUUGUAACACAUGUUUCAGGUCACAAAGCAACGUUUAUGAAUGCCAAUUAUAGUAACUUCUAGUCAACAUACCAUAGAGUCUGCUGUGAAGUUGAAAUGUUGAAAUAGAAUAGCAAUGACCAAGUAGACAAUCCCAACAACAAUGCCAAGUGCCUCAGGCCUGCAAAGCAAGUAAAAUGCUUAGACAAGCAAGAAUGAAAACUAUUUGAUUUGUACCUCCAGUGAGUCCUGCUAAACUCUUAAAUAUUUCGAACAAAUAGCACAUAAUGGGUAUUUUUCAUAUCUUAAAAUAUUCUCUUACAUGCUCAGUAAAACUCUAGAGGUAUGCUGAUAAUUUCCUAAAAUCCUACUCCUAUACUUCAUGAGCAGGUUAAGAGUGUCUCCAACUGAAUUUUUAAAAACCUUGAAGCAUAUGUAUGCACUAGCAUGCAUUAGUAACAUGGCCCAAAGGAGGUAGUCACAACUCAUAACCUUCCUUAAAACAACUUUUGUGUCCUUGUUUUGAGUGACACGUAUUUCCGAGAAUCAAGAACUUUUGCCAAGAAGAAAAAAAAAAAGAGAAGGAACUGUUGGAUGAAAUUUGAGUGAUUGAUGAACUCCAAUGUAUCAGUUCAGUUUACACUAAACAAGUAGUUAGACAAAAACGGUAUGGUGCAUCAACUCUACCUCUACGUGUCGGCAUGCAAGACAAAGGAAAUGCUUAACAUCCCAUAGAAAUGUAACCCUAUGAUGGGCCCAGAAGAAAAGGAAAAUUAGUUAGAACACACAAAAUCUGAACUAUGUUAUUCUUCAGUACAUCGGUGAAACACUGAAACUAGACAACACAAUUUAAGAGUUUACAACUAAGAUAGAUCUUUUUUUAAUAGAACAACUUACUCUGCAACCCAAAUGUGAUUAUCUUCCCAAAGUGCACUAAAUACUGCUGGCGUGUUUCAAAUUCCCAAAGCACACUAAGUCAUGCUAACACUUUCCAGAGACCAUACCUACCCAAUUACUAGCUCCCAAUCCUACAAGACAAAUUUGAGUGAACCUGAUAAACUAUUACACGUACGGAGCAUGCAUGAUGUGUCAGGUUCCACAAUCAACAUUUGUAAUGCGAAUGUAGAAUGUAAGACAGGUCAGCUACCGCAACAACAAUUACCAACAUACAGACGCAUCACUUGAGGAAAUUCCUACUUGAGCUGUCAUGCAAAACAGUCAGGUAGGACUGAACAAAUCAAGGUAUUGUAGUAGCGUGCCCUCUAAUUAUGGCGUAUACCCCAAAUGCACUGACCCCAACUGAGCUAAAUCACAACUAGUAUCAGUAACCGCUACGAGCUACAGUAACCAUCUGCGUAACAAAGAUCCCAAAGUCAAAAUCCUCGCCCCUGAUGCUUCCAAUAGCAGAUCCUCAACAAUGACACCUAAAUUCUGAUGCUAAACGCUCAAAUCUGGUUAAAUCUAAUCCUAGGGAAAUCGCAUUUGCAAACACUGCAGUUAAAGCCAUCUUUCAGAAAUGCAAUCGGUGACUAACACUCUGAUCUCGCCCAUGGGCAAGCCGCGCUUGUUGAUGUCCUUCCCCCACAUCCCGCGACGGAGGAGGUAGCGUGCGGCGACGGGGACGAGGCGGAGCACGACGACGAAGCCGCCGAAGCUCAUGGCCCCGCAGAUGAGGAUGGAUCGCCGCAGCGCCGCGUCCAGCGGGUAGUGCACGAACGCAAGGUACGAGAAGGGCGCGAGGAAGGCCACCAUCGCCGCGGCGACCACGCGCAGGUUCGGCGCCCGGAGCACCAGCUCAGCAUCCGCGGCCUCCGCCGCCGCCACCGCAGCAGCCGGCCUCGCCCGCGGCUGCGCAUCAGCGGGUGCCGCCGCCGCCGCCGCCGCCGUCGCCGCGGGCCUGCGGCGGGCGUCCAUGGGAGACUAGGAGGGGAGUGCUAGGGUUUCGGCAGAGCUUCUCCGGCGAGUCGGCUGGUGCGGCGGCGGUGGCGGGGGUUUGGUCGCCGGCGAGGGGGGCCGGGCCGUCGAGGAGGUCGGGGAAAAUUUAUAGCCGCGGCCGUGUUGUGACGUGGCAGGCUCCCAUUGGCUGGAGUCACGUGUUCGGCGGCCACUGGAAUGGCUAGCGAAGCAUGAGGAAUCUUGCGUGGAAUCGAAGUGAUCAGAGAACGAGAUCUGGACCGUCCAGAUGUUAUCUAACGGUGUAAAUCUUCCUCAGUUGAAACUGCCCUUGGCCUGCAUUGGCAUUGGCAUUGAUACUGUGCUGAGGUGAUCUGAGCCUUAGAUUUAAGAUCCGAUGGUUGUAGGGACUGCAGAAACAUAACCGAGUGGUUGACAAGGGGUUUGAUAUAUUUGAUAAGCCCUUGAGAAAUAAACAAAAGUAACCAAAAAAUAUUUUUAGUUAAAACUUUUUAUCUCUAUUCUUAGAGUUUUAUAAACUCAGAGUGUGUUUGAUAAAUGGGAUAUGAGAGAUGGGACUGGGAAAGGGAAAUGGAUGAAUGGCUAGGAUUAAAUAAAGUGUGAAUAAUAGAUGGUUAAGAUGCUAUGUUGCUCUUUGGAGGGUGGGAUAUUAUUUUUCAAUCCCAUUUGCCAAACAAAACCUCAAGGUUAAAAAACAAGCUUAAAUAAACAUCCAAUUUUAAAUAAAACUUUGAAAAUUAAUUUUGGUUCUUAUGGACUCCUAAUUUAACUAUUAUACUUUUUCACAAGGUUUAUAGCAGAUUUAUGUUGGCCUCCUAUGAUAAGCAUGCGUAAAAGAUUUGGAAUGCACGUUUUUAUUGGAUACAUAACUAGUUACAAACAAAAUCACAAUCCCACAGAAGAAGCAAGUGGUGGAUCUACUACCACCCCUACAAACAAGUACCUACCUUUUUAUGAAUGGAGAGAAAAUAGUGUGGCGCUAAUGGACCCACCUGUUAGAAAAAGGAGGUAUGUCGAAAGUGAUGGCAAAAACAGGUCAAUGAUAAUGUUUUUUUAGAAUAAAUCUAUUGCAGCGCACGAGUAAUAUGUUACUCCCUCCGUUUCAUAUUGUAAGACUUUCUAGCAUUACCCAUAUUCAUAUAGAUGUUAAUGAAUCUAAGCAUAUAUAUAUAUAUGCUUAGAUUCAUUAACAUCUAUAUAAAUAUGGGCGAUGCUAGAAAGUCUUACGUUGUGAAAUGGAGGGAGUAGUAGAGAAGAGCGUUUGACUUUGUAAAGAAAAAAAAAUAAAAGAAGAUUUGUGCUCAUGUGCUAAUAUGCCCAUGACACUAAAUUGAGGCAUAGGUAUAUAAUUCACGAUAAUUUGCUCCCUCGCUUUUAAAUUAGUUGUUGCUUUAACUUUAUCCUAAGAUAAACAUUUUAACUUUUGAUUAUUAAUUUUUAUAAUGCUAUAUAGGCUAACAUGUUAACUGUACAUAAAAACAUUACUCAUGAUGAAUCUAAAAAUAUAUAAAUAUUAUAAAGUUUAACUGCAUGGAUUAUUCAAAUCAACGAUAAAUAUUUGACUCAUGACAAAGCUAAAUCGGCAUGCAAUUGUGGUCUUAUCUCUACUACUACAAGGGUGUGUGCACGGAAAACGGAGCGGUUCAUUAGUGCGCGAUUAAUUAAGUAUUAGCUAUGCUUUUUUAAAAAAGAUCAAUAUGAUUUUUUAAGCAACUUUCGUAUAUAAACUUUUUGCAAAAAACACAUCAUUUAGCAGUUUAAAAAGUGUGCGCGUGAAAAACGAGAGGGAAAAGUUAGGAACCAGUAGUGCCGAACACACCUAAAAGAGGUAGCCUUCAUCCUUCUGCCCCCCUCCUCCUAAAACCACUUCCUUCCAUAAAAAUCGAUUUCUCUAAGAAAACCUGACCAUAAUUAAAAAAAAAAACCUAAGCAACCAAACCUAUCCAAAUUCUUCCACUAAACUAAACUAAAUAAAUAGACCAUUGCAACGCACUGCUAUAUAACUAGUUUCUCCAAACAACAACAACAAAAAAAACAAAACAAAGAACUCAAUCCUUGAAAAUGUUAUAUAAUCUGAUGGAGCUUAGUUCACCUAUGGUAUUUGAAUCUGAUGAAAAUAAAAAUUAAGUUGACGCACGUAAAAUGAAAAAGCCAUUAGCACAUAACUAAUUGAGUUUUUAGUUAUUACAAACUUGACAAAUAGAGAUAUGUUGAUAUUUUAAAGCAACUCCUGUAUAGAGAGUUUCUGCACAGAACUGUUUAGUAGUUUAAAAAGCGUUAUAAGUAAAAUGAUCUUAGGCCCUGUUUUUUUCUCCAACAAGGGUUAGAUGAAGAUUAAGAUUUUCAUAGCAAAAACGCUUUUCAAACUGCUAAAUGGUGCGUUUCGUGCGGAAACUUUCUAUAUGAAAGUUGCUCUAAAAUAUCAUAUUAAUCUAUUUUUUAAGUUUGUAAUAAUUAAAACUCAACCAAUCAUACGUUAAUAUCAUAUCGUUUCGCUAAAAAACUUAAUUUGCAUCUCCAUCUUACACCACCUUAUUCAGAAACGUAUCUCUCUCCGAUUUUUCUUUUUCUGAACACAUGCAAACCACUAAUUACAAUUGUAAGCACGCAAAAAUUGGAAUUCUACUUCUAAGCAAAACUGCCCACGUCACCACCAUAAAUCUGAUUGGCCUGGUGAUAACUGUCCACGAUAUGGGCUACCUAUUUGUUUAAGGAAUAAGUCUAUACACGUCCCUAAUUUCUUAUCCGGUUGGCAAUUUUGCUGUCUUGUUUUUAAUCAAGAACAUACAAGUAUUUUUGUUUCUUUCUCGUAUCUGGCUAUAUUCAUAUAAUACUGAGAUAAGAAUUGCAUAGUUAUAUUAAAAAAAAAGUAAGAAAUGCAUACGGUACAUUGAAUUGUAAAACCAAAAUAAGACAAUAUAAACCAUAUUUAAACAUGCAAACUCCAAAUAAACGACCAUGAGUAUGUCAAAAACAUUAUUAUGAAGUAACAGAAACUAGAGAUGUCCAUUCAUUUUCCCGAAAAAACUAAGACAUAAUUAAUUUUGCAAUCAAAAUGCAUUGGAGCCUUCAUGGCAUAGGUCCCAGAAUUAAGACACGAUACAUUUAAACGGUUCUAGAAUAUCUAAUUGUUGGCCUUCUAUAUUAUCUUCCCAAUGACUAGAUCAUUCUGUCAGUGCGGUCCGCUUGAUGAUGCACCUGCAAGUAAACCAAUAUUAGCAUAUUAUAGUGUUAAGUAAGGUCUCAAAUAAUGUGAGAGAACUAUCCUAACAAAAAGGUACAGUUACAAACCGGCUUGAUUCUUAUCUCGUGUUGAACGAUGUGCUUGAUGUCCCAGUCGUCGACCUUGCAUUUCAUCCAUAUAUAUUGGGAUUCUGUUGUGUCUCCGUCGACCCCGUUGUAUUAACCUCUUGUCAGGCACAAUAACUGGACCAAUAUAUGGUGGCCACUCAUUUUGAUUUCCAUAGGGAUGAAAUUGACCUGCCCAAGUGCUUGCCAGUGUUGAUGAAGAGUAAUAUGGAUGGAUAAAUUGAUUCUCAUUGAAAUUUCUAUCCUUGCAAACAGCAAGGGCAUGAGCGCAUGGUAUUCCAGUGAGGUUUGGCUUUAGGCAUUCGCACAUAGGAGGAGUAUCAUUGUGUAUUAUUACUUUAUACUUGAAAUCUCUUCGAACAUAUGCAGUAUGAUUUCCUUGCACUACUGCAACUCGCUCACGGUCAACCUUGACCUCAUACUCACCACCUUCAUCACCAUAAGAAGUCACGUGCAUGGAUCCAGCCUUAUUCCCUCGCUUUACUAACAAAUUCUCAACCCGAUGGGACCACAUUUUCUCUGAAUCUGCAAGUUCAAGAGCAGAUUUUCUUCUAUCAGCAAACCAUUCUAAGCAUUUAUUAAAUGUUUCCUCCACUAUUGCUGUCACAGGUAAUCUCCUUGAGUACUUGAACACAUUAUUUAAUGAUUCAGAACCAUUACUUGUCAUUAUACCCCAACGGUAACCACCAUCCAUGCAUUGAAACACCUCUCAGGUUUCUCAGGCUCAUCUUUAUCCUCCUGUCGAUAUUUUCCAACACUUUUUAGAUAAUCAAUUGCAUUUGGACAACUUUGUGUAAUUGCAUCCAUGCCUUCUACAAACCUGCGUGGUUUCUUCUUCUUUACAGCCCACUUGAAUGUUUUUAUCACAUCAUCAUUUUUACAUCGCUUGUACAGAUUCUCAGCAAUAUGUUGGGAACAAAAUCGAUGCACACACUCACCACCAAUUUCGUUCCAUCCGAUAUGUGGCUGCUUGAAUACCCACUUUAUAGCCUUGUGACGAUCAGAACAACACACAUGAAAUUACCAAAACCAAUCACCUCUUUUCUUAGCCAUCUCAUAAACCAACCCCAAUUGUCACUAUCCUCCUUUUCCACGAUUGCAAAAGCAAGUGGUAGUAACCUAUUUUCAGCAUCAUAUCCACAUGCUAUCAACAACCUGCCCCGAUACCUACCAGAUAAAAAAGAAGCAUCCACACUAAUUACCGGUCGAAGGUAUGGGACAGAUUCAAUGCAUGGCCCAAAAGCCCAGGCCAAACAUUUGAAUGAUUGGUGUCCUUCAGGAGAUGUAGGAUUUGAUAGAAGUUGAUAUUUUGUACCCGGAUUAGAUGCUUUCAUUGCCUCCAACAACGGUGUGACAAGUGCAUAUGAUUCUUCCCAACUACCAAACAAUUGAACUAUGGCCAACUCUCGACCACGCCACAACUUGUUGUACUUUGGUUUCACAUUUUUAUAUCUUUGUCGAACCAACUGACGUAUGCUUAAUAUACUCAACUCCAAAUUCUCCUUUAGAUCAUCACGUAUCACAUCAGCAAUGACCGCUGCUGUUAGCUGUGCAUGAUCAAAUCGGUCAGCAGGUGCACGACAUGUGUGGGGAAAUUGGCAAGUUUGUAUUUUCCAACUCGAACCAAUUUUUGUUGUUUUUGCAUAUAGCUUCCACUUGCAAGUACUAUCUUUGCACUUGAAAUCUAGUCUUGAUUUGUUGCUUGUAGAUACCCUUACUUCCAUAUUAUUACUAAUGUGAAAUUCAUUUACUGCAAACUGUAGGUGUUGCUUGGAGUAAAAAAUUCGACCUUUGGCCAAUGGACUCUCAAAGUGUCUCUUUGAACCAAAGAAACAAUCAUCAGCUCUUGUCUGACGCAACACAGAAAUGUCAUGAAAGGCACUUACGGGGUGCUUACCAGACCUACCCAUGAGUGGCUGCGAUUUUGCAGAAUUAACCAAUGCAAUACUAUCAUUCAUAUUCUCUUCGUCUUCGCUACCCUCCUCCACAUCUUCCUGGUCUUCAUCCUCGUCAAUAUUGCCUUCAUUGUCUGUCUCUUCUCCAACAUAAGCCUCCUCUUCAACAUUUGUUUGCACCACAUUCCUAGCAUUAUGACCAUCAAGGGAAGGCAUCACAAUUGAUUCUUCUCCAUCUUGAUUAGCUUCAGAAGAGAUGACAUGACUAGGUGAUUGAUUAACUAAUCCUUGCUCAAUAAUUUAAAUGGUUGGAGCAGUGUUAGGUUCAUUAUUUCCUCUUGUCAUGACACCAAUACUUGAAGUAUGACUUCUCCCAAUAUUAAUUGAUGCAGUCUCAACAUACAAUUCUACCAUAUGCCAAUUGGUCCGUGCUGAUGUCAUUUCAAGGAUCAUUUGCCAAGAUCUUUCCUCGUAUAAAGGGAUUAACUGGAAAAAAUGUGGACCAGGUGCCCCAACAUCAUACCUCACUUUUAUAACCAAUGAAUAUGCAACCUCAGAAAAAUCUAGGCCACGGAAAAUCUCAUUUUUCACAUCUUCUAGCGUAGUAGACUUGAUAGCAGGAAAAGUGAUCUUGGGAGGAAUACUAUAUGAUGCACCUGCCUUCUCUUCGUAUAUGAUUUCACCACCCGCAUACACAAGAACAAUUAUCAUGGCUCGUGUAGUUGUGCCUAAAAAACAAAUAACAUGUUAUUAUCAUUCACUUGAUAUACAUGUGAAAGUAGCGUGAACUAUUUACCAAACAUAUAUAAAUGUUGAAUUCAAUCUAAGUUUUUGGCAUAAUAUAAUAGACAAUUUAUAUAUAAAAAAACAUAUGCGGAAAACGGUGCCCCAUGAAAAAAGUUAUCUAACUUAUCGUAUAUAUGGGAAAAGCGCUAUACGGUCCAAUGUAGACAACGGCCAAGUUGUAGUGUGUGUAUGUAUAAACCAUUUAAUAUAACCUUCGACAGUGACAAUGUUAGUGUGGCCAUAGUGCAACUAAAAUUCAUCAAUUCUGAGCACAUGAGACUAAUCAAACUAGCGUGCAGCAAACAAUUGAUCCACUAAUAUGAAUUGUUAGUAUUGAAAAUUUAGUAGUAUAAUACCACGUUGUUUGUAUUCUCUUUGUGAUAUGAACAAUGGAAAAAAAAACUCGUUGUAUGCAACCUUAAACCCUAUGAUUUUGAUGUACUACCGGAUGAAUUAGAUUUGAACAAUGGGGAAAACUCACCGUCUAUGCAGUUCCAAUAUCCAAAACGGAAGCCAACAUCUAAAACCAAGAAAUAUUGUUUGCUGGGUUAGGGCGGAGGAAGCUGCGAUGGAGAAUGAACAAAGUUCGACUCUGACGACAACGGCAAGAUGGCAAACUGCCCUAGUUUUCUUGACUCCCCGUAAUGAUGCAACUAACCAAUUUUAGAGGUGGGUUGUUGGGUUAACUUAAUCAAUUCAGCAGCCCAAUACGGCCCAGUAGUUUGUUGGGCUACUGGUUAGAUGGAAACAUAUUGCUGUAUAUGAGCAUCUUGUUGCCUAAAUAAUUAAAUGUGAUUGUUGCGUGCUCACAUUUGUAAUUAGUGGUUUGCACGUGCUUAGAUAAAAAAAAUCAGUAUCUCUCUAGUAGACUAGUGCUAGUAGCAAAACCUACCGAAUAUGGAACACAAUCGGAGUCGAUUUCCAGGGCCGUGAAACACAAACGCUACUGGACUCCUUUCCGCCUAAUAAAAAAGCUCAAAGCUCACCGCGACAAGAAGAAGCCCAGCCCACGACAAACCACACCCACCACCACGCACGCACGCACGGUAUACAUACACCUUCACAUUGGGGGCGAUGGGCAGCAGCAAGGCCAACCACCCGGCGGCUUCCUCGUCCAAGGUCUCCUCCGUCUCCUCCUCCAAACCCAAACCCAAACCCACCCCGAUUAGAAACCCUACGCCUCCGCCUCCUCCUCCUCGCCGCCGCACGCCCCCGCCUCCGCCGCCGGGGUCGGGCCCGGGGCCGCAGCGACCUUCCUACCUCUCGGUAGCGCUCCGCCGCCGCGGGCCUCCCGCGGGCAGCGCGGCCGGGACCCCGGCGCCGCCGCGCGCCGCCGCCGCCUUUGAUGUCGCCCCCCCGGUCGCCGAGCACACGGACCCCGUUGUCUUCCCCGCUUCAUUAGCCGAGAUGAGCGGCGGCGGCGGCAGCAGCAGCAGCGACGAUCAGGUAUAUACCCCACCCCCAUCUGCUCCCCGCGCAUCGACACUGGCUGGCUCGUGGCUGCUACGGGGUAAUUGCGUUUUUGGGUGCGAGUGAAUUAAUGUUGUGUUUUUUUUUUUUGGGGGGGGGGCGGUAUUGUGAUGCUUCAAAGUUUGUCUGGAUCAUGGUACAUGUGGCACUAGAUUAACGCAAUAAGUAUGCUACUCACUUGUUUUAGGGGCUUUUGUGGCCGAUUACUGCAUAAGCUGUUGUUGCUUUGAAGUUAUAUGGAGUAAGAGUAGUUCGUUUGAGUUUUGAAGGUGCUACUUCAAAAUUUUAAGUGGAACCAAGCAUUCCCUUAAGCCAAUGCAGCUCCUUCUGUGUUAGCUUGAUAUUUAGGGCUACAGAUAUCGACGAUAUUUCGAUUAAUAGUUGUUUUGGACGCUCCACAAGUUAUUAUGGUCCUGUGGUUAUGAUUUUCUCAUCAUAUAGUUGCUCCUGUUGUGCAGAUCCUUCUGUUUGGGAGCUUCACAGAGGCUGAAACCAAGUUGUGGCAGCCUAAUGCAAAUAAAACACGGGAACUCUCUGAGAUCCAGUUUGGGUCACUGAAUUUCUCAGCUCUAAAUUUAUCGAAAGAAUCAAAUUCUAUUACUCAAGGUGCUGUCUAUCCUGCAAAAUUAAGUGACGGCCAGAACAAAAUCAUCAUUACAAAGGAUAUUGCAUGCAGCAACAAAAAGGAAACAGUAGCUCCUACAUUACCAAAUGGCAAGCCAGUGCUAUUCAAUGGAUCUCCCACUGCCAAUGCCAAUGUGUCUCCCAACAAUGGCGUCAUUGAGAAUAAUCAGAAGGCUGUAGCUGCAGUUCUCACGAGUGUUCCUGCUAAAAAUGUCAGCAGCCCAGCACCACUUUCAGUUCCAGAGGUGGACCAUGAUGGGAUCGAACGCAAUCAAAACAGCAGUUUAGUCCCAGAAAUAACUGAAAAUGGAGGGCCAGCUAUUGAUACACCAACUACUGCAGCUCCAGUGGAUGAGCUUGUGACAAGCUUAAAUAAAAAGGACUUUCGGAACAAGCCCUUGCUUCCUCAUGGUUUGAAGAAUACAGGAAAUAUAUGCUUCCUGAAUUCAUCCUUGCAGGCAUUGCUCUCAUGCUGGCCUUUUGUCCAGCUUUUACAGAACUUGAGGAACCAGAAUAUACCUAAGGUGCUGCUAUUUAAACAAUUAAGCUUGAUGUUCUAACCCCGCUUAUUUCAGGCUAAUUUUUCUGACUACUUGUUGCAUUUUAGGCUGGUUACCCAACACUGAAUGCAUUUAUUGAGUUCAUCUCUCAAUUCGACGUGCUCGAUGAUUCAAAUGUUAAGAAAGACGAGAAGUUUGCUACAAUAGCUUCAAAAUCAGUUAUUCCCUCCAUGUUUGACACAGUUCUGAGAAAUUUUACUCCAGAUGUGCCAGCUGGAACAGCUUCUAGGCCAAGGUAAAAGACUGUUAAUGCAUUUUUUUUAACUAUUAGUUUUACUUGUGUGAAAGUAACUCAUCUAGUUGUUAAUGCUGAUAAUCUGAUGUUUGGUUUGUCGGUGCAAAUUGUGGAUAUCAAUGACUUUUUGGCAUUUUCUUUAACAUCUUUAGUCCAACAAGCCAUGGAUGGCAGUUUAUAGUCUGGUGUUUAGCUGAUCCUUCUAGUACUAUAAUAUAUUUUGUUCAUUCUUUCUUAAAGAGCUGUAUUGAGUGUAUUAAGUUAAAACCAAUGGCUCAAUGCUUACAAGCAUGAUUGCACGAUGCUUACGAUGCUUUUGAACCCCUGACUAUAUCCUUUUUGUUUUUUAACCCUCUGCUUGAGGCUUUGCUUGUGUAUCACUAUGAUAUUUAGGAUAUAUGCCAUAUAAAUAUGAAGUUCAUUCAAACAAAGUAGUUUGCUGCAUCACAUAUCGCUGGGACAUUGUGCAUGCUAUUCUCUAUCCAUUUCUUUGUGUUGUUGUAGAUGUCCAGUUUUAAGGGUUCACCUCAAUUUGCAGUAAGCUAUCCUUGUUUCAGUUUAUGAUGCUAUGUACUUAUGCAGGCAGGAAGAUGCUCAAGAAUUCUUAAGUUUUGCGAUGGAUAGAAUGCAUGAUGAACUAGUGAAGCUUAAUGGCAAUGGCUCAAAUUCAAAGGAGGGUAUGAUUGUUUCAUCAAAUGAUGAUGAUGCUUGGGAGACUGUUGGAAAGAAGAACAAGUCAGCCAUAAUGAGGAGUCAGAGUUUUGUUCCCUCCGAGUUAACUGCUAUUUUUGGAGGCCAGCUGCAAAGCUGUGUGAAAGCUACUGGUAAAAUUUUCUUGUGCAGAGAAAAAGCGCACACUGUUUUGGAAAUUUUAAUGUCCUUGCUUUCCAUGUCAUUACUGUUAUGGUAUAUCUAACCAACUCAACAUUUGCUUGUGCCAUGUAACUCUAUAAAUGAUGUUCCUAAGCAUGCACGAAAGUUGUCAGGGAAAUAGUGUAUAUGCUUAUGCUUGACAAUUGAGAUUAACUUAAAAAAAGAAACUGUUAUACUAUUUAUUUCUCCCUAAGAAGUUAUUUGACAUUAUUACCAGAAUCAUGGGCUAUUGUCCUUAUUUUAUACCUGGAAGGUUUACUUCAUUGUCAUUCUUCUAGUUUUACUAACAAGUCAAAUCACACCCAUUAGUCCUUAAGGUAUUACUGAAUACCACUCCUACAUGAAUCAUGUAACUCAAUAUACCUUUCGCGAAUAUGUUCCCCACUGAUCAUGAACUCAUGACUGGCAAACCAUUUUUCACAGACUCAAGGUGAAAACUGUGUUUGAGUGGGUCAAAUUGUGCAGUCAUUUGCUCAGCUUUGCUUGGUGAGUGCAGACUGAUGGAUUAUUCUUUUAUCUGCAGGUAACAAAGCAUCAGUCACCGUUCAGCCUUUUCGACUGAUCCAUCUUGACAUAUUCCCCGAUGCUGUUCAGAAACUUGAUGAUGCCCUUCGUCUGUUUGCUGCUCCUGAAUCUUUGGAAGGAUACAGAACAGCUGCUGGAAAGGUAGCUUGUUGAAAUUUACUCUAUUAUUUGACCUCUUAAUUAUGUCACCACUCAAAUGGUUUGUUAAUUGCAUGUAUGUAAACUUGGUUUUUUUACAUGCAAUGGAAAAUCCAUUUUGCAUCUACUGCAUUUUACUCAGUAAACUAUUUAUGAAGCCUUCCUUUUUUAAUGUUAAUAUUCUGUUAAAGCUGCUAUUUAAUAAGCUAUGUUGUUGAAACUUCUCCUUGUGGUACCACUAUAUUUGGUGCUUUCUUCUUCAUAUGAAAGAUGCAACUGUUAUUUCUUGCAAUGAGUUAAAAUUACAAUAUGUCAAACUUUGAUCUUGCAGGCUGGGUUGGUGACGGCUAGAAAAUCAGUGAAGAUACACUCACUUUCAAAGAUAAUGAUACUGCACCUGAAGAGGUUUAGUUAUGGAAGUCAUGGCUGCACGAAACUCUUCAAGCCAAUUCACUUCCCUCUUGAGCUGGUUCUUAGUCGUGAUCUGCUGAGUUCGCCAUCAUCAGAGGUGAUAGUUUGCCCGAUAUGGUUUUAUACAUUUCCUCUCAAAAUUUUGAGCUAUCUUUCAUUUGUUUCAUCCCUCCAUUUUCCUCUUACAGAGGCAACCAUGUCUUGGUUAUGCAAUUAUUGUGUUAUUGCAUAUGCAGUAGGCUUAAGCUUGCACUCCAAGUUUAUGCACCCAUUAUGGAAUCACGAUCAUUUCUUAGUUUCCAACAUGCUAUUGAAUUUGAGACAAAUUGACGCUUCUUCAAAUAGUUAAAAUGGGAUCUAACAACUUGAUUUCAGCACAUGCAGAGUAGAAGAUAUGAGCUUGUUGCAACCAUCACGCAUCUUGGGGCAAACCCGUCCAGGGGCCAUUACACUGCCGAUGCAAAGUCUGCCAGUGGGCAGUGGCUUCGCUUCGACGAUGAUAACGUCACACCUGUCAGUCUGAACAAGGUCUUGCAUGACCAAGCAUAUGUCCUGUUCUACAAACAAUUAUAAGUUUGGGGGUAUUGCUACGGAGUUGAUUAGCGGUUCUCUUAUUGCUUGAACAGCUAGAUAUAUACUAACUAUAUCGCCCAGUUAAUGUAGCUGCCGUGUAACUGAGAAUCUUGUGUCAAGUGCCUGGUUUCCUGCGUUUAUUUAUAUAUGCUUGAUCACAUAGUGGGGGAUUUUUGUUCAGGCCAUUGUUGAGGUUUUGUAAAAUGCAAAUGUCAUCUUGGUAAUGACCAUUAAAGUAACCAUGAGAUGAUAUCACUCGUUAGCCCUAAGAAACUAUAUUGAUCAUGUUAUUGCGGUGUUGCAUUUGAUUAUAUUAAAACGUGAUUAAAACGUCCAGCUUGUGAGCUUGACGAUUGCUGAAAUAUGGCUCUAUGGCUGCCUACUGCGCUUCAGGUUUCAGUGGCUGUCAAUCAGUUUGGAAAGCUGAAGCUGUAGAGAUCAACCUGAAACUGUGAAUUUGUGAAGCAGUUUAUGCCUACUAUAUACGAGAGAUCGUGGCUGAUCUAAAAUGACUUCUGCAGAUGCCAUUUCCUCGUAAUGCUGGAUCAUGAUCCGCAAGAGAUGAUAUCUUGCACUACAAAAUGAAUUCUGCAGAUGUCAUUUCUUCACAAUGGUGGAUGAUCUAUCAAAUGAGGUGUCAUUUCUUCACAAUGGUGGAUGAUCUAUCAAAUGAGGAUUUCAACACUCUUUGUGCAGAUGUCAUUUCUUCACAAUGGUGGAUGAUCUAUCAAAUGAGGAUUUCAACACCCUUUUUGCACAGUUGUACACUGAUUUGUAUUUUUCUCCUCUUGCUCUUGUGCCAUCCUUCAUCUCCUUUCAGAGACUCAAUUCUCCCGAGGCUUUACACUACUAUCCGGUACGUAUACCUAAGAUCCCCCUCCGUCCCAGAAUAUAGGUUUUUGUAUUUUGGGACGGAGGGAGUAACAAUCACUCCACUGUUCGAGCAUGAAUUGAUGUGCAAAUUAUUCGAUUUCUCUGUCAAUACGUCCUAAUUUGCAGCUUGUGACAACCAUCAAAUCGAGGAAGCUGCCGAUUGUGCUUUGCUGAUGUUAUCUGUUCAAGGAGCCCUGAAAGUCUGAAACUGAAAAACAACAUGAAUAACAGUGAAUGAUUAGAACCCAGAAACCUGCUAAAUUGUUUAUCAGUGAACAUCUUCAUAAACCGUAGUGGAACCCUUCUGAAAUCAAUCUGAACUGAAGCUGGCAUCUGCCUGUUAAUACAUUAUACAUAAUAAAAUUACCGGAUCAUCAUUUUGUGCAGAUCAACACACUGUAACUGUAGUAUGCAGAAAUCCCGAUCUGCAGUUGUUCCUGUGAUCCUGUCUAGCAUUUUGUAAAGAAGAAAGCACUGGAGCAUGAAAAAACCAAUCUGAAGCUGUUCCUGUCAAGCAUUUUAGUUGUUUGUUUGCGUUGAUACGUUCUUUGUUUCUCUGUGGUAUUGUCAACCAGUCAAAUUGCAAUAUAAUAUCAUUGAGCGUUAUAUUUGACCAAGUUACUUCUGAAUUCAUGCAGACCACUAUCACUUUUGACCAAUUACUUCUGAAUUCAUGUUCCUUUCUCUAUUAUCACUUUGACCAAUUACUUCAUUUAUGUUCUUCACCCUACAAUCACUUUUGAGUUUUGACCAACUACUUCUGAAUUCAUGUUCUUCUCCCUAGCUUGUUUUAGAGACUUGACUGCUGAAUCAACAUGGCCUUCCAUAAUUUGCUACCUAACUGAACCUAAACCAAGACAUUCUCUUGCACGAUACAUUUUGCUUUCAUGCUUAUAGUUUAGAAACCAUGUCUUAUCUUGCAUUGCAUACUAAGUUCUCAAAUAAUUUAAUGACAGUUUGACAUGGCUGAGCUGUAUGCCUGUUUAUGCAAAGCUGGCAUGUUCAUCAUACGAACUCUUCAGUUCAAAGUUGAGAGAGCCAACCAGAAAUUGAAAGCCAACGUCAAGAAUAAAUCAGCUACCUAUUGUUAGAAUGUCUAUGGAUAUCUCUGCAACCUUAACAGCCAGCUGCAGAAAUCAAUCUGAACUUAAUGCUGUUUCCGUCUAGCAUUUAUCUGUGACACCUCACACGUAGAUAUUGCUCCUUGAAUGGUACUUAUGUUGCUUUCAUUUCUAAAGUUACUAAAUCAUGACCAAUUCGAUGGCGAUUUCGGUCCCAGUUCGUCACAUUUCCACACUGAUGUCUUUCAGAGGCUUUAAACUUCCACCUUCUUUUCAGAGCUCCCAAUUAAAUCAUCUUUCUUGAUCAGUCACUUCCAUUUUUGCUACUGAUGAUGCCAGUAAUAAACCACCAUCAUCGGCAUCGCACAUGAUGACAAUUGACAAACCAACCACCAACUUUCGAGAUCCAACAAAUUCACAGACAACAAAAGAGCAGGUUUCUACCAGAUUCUGAAGAGAGCAAAGGAAUAAUCAGAAGUUGAAAGAUUCUAAACAUUAGACUGCUUGCCAUCUUAAUAUAUCCAACAUUAACAAGGGCGGUAGUAGAAUCAUUAGUACACAUGAUUCUACAUCACUCUCUAUUUUUGCUUUUUUUUUUCUAACACAUUUUAGAUGAUGCACCUGAAACUGAACAGAAGCUGCUUUACUACUACAAGGGAUGCAGCACCAGAAAGCUGCAAUUUUUCCCCCUUUUUUUUUCAGUUUUUAUACACAGUGAAGAAAAGCAGAGAGACUAAACUCUGAAAACUCCAAGGUUAUACACUAGACAGCAGCAGCAGCAGCAUCACCACUCACCCAUGGCGCUCUAGCGAGGCUGGUGGAUGACGUGGCGGGCGGCGCCGCCCUUGGCGGCGACGAACUGGGCCGGCUUCUCGGCGUGCCUCACCAUCCCGGCGCCGCCCAACCUCGGCGAGUUGAGGCUGAGCGCCCUGAGCACGUCGGCGUCGAGGGUGGGAGUCGUCGUCGGCUUGUGGUGGACGGGGGGGUCGGGGGUGUAGAAGAGGUCGUCGGUGUCGACCAUGUCGAGGAGGUCGAGCGAGUCGUCGGGCAGGAGCGCGGCGAGGUCGUCGUCGAACACCUGGCGGUGGUGGUCCUCCUCCGCCGCAGCGUCCUCGUACAUCUGGUGCUGCCUGAACCAGUGGUCGCGGAACCACGCCGUGGUCUUGACGAGCUCCCACCACUCCGGCGAGAAGUCCUCCACCCUCCUGAACGCCGCCGGGAUGAACGGCGCCGCGUUCGGGUUCAGCGACGACAUCGCCAUAGCACUCAUCCCUCACUCCAACUGCAACAAACAAGAACAAGAACAACAACGCCAUCAAUAACCCAAAAAAGAAACAACAAGAAAUUCGCUAGCUAGCUAGCUCAUGGCGAUCGAUCAAGAUCGUCGAAGAUUACUACUACCUUUUCUUGGGGGAAAAUAUCUCGUGGCGCGACGCGAACGGCGAUUGAUUGAUUCCCGCGGUUUUGAGAGAGAAACGGUGGGUUUCUUGUUUGGCUUGGCUGCGCGGUGGUGGAGGGGGAGCGCGUUUAAUAGGCGAGAGGGGAGGAGUACGAGCGGGUGGGGUGGUGGGGCCGGGUUGUCAGUGGGAGUGGCUGACGUGUGGGGCCGGGUUGGCGUGUGGGUGGGGUGGGUUGGGGUGGGGGUGGAUGGUGAGUUGGUGACUGGUCGGUUUGGGUCCCUUUUUCACAUGGGGGGUGGGGCCAAUGGGGAGUGUGGUGAUGCUUGGGCGGGAUUUUCUGUGGGCGAGGGAUAUAAUAAUUCGGGUGGAAGUUUCCUGGCGAUAGAGAUAUUGAAGUGCUCCUAUGGAGAGAGAGAGAGAGAGAGAGAGAGGGUGUGUUUAAUGUGUAAAUCGUGUACGGUUUGCUUGUAGUUAUCGGAUAAGAUGGGGCUGUUUGGAUGGGACUUUUCAGUCCAACCAGAUGUUUGACACUAAUUAAAAAUAUUAAACAUAGACUAUUGAUAAAACCUAUUUCAUAACCCUGAACUAAUUUGCGAGACGAAUCUAUUGAGACUAAUUAAACUAUAAAUAAUUUAUGUGAUGCUACAGUAAACAUGUGCUAAUUAUGAAUUAAUUAGACUUAAAAAAUUUGUCACGCAAAUUAGCUCUCAUUUAUGUAAUUAGUUUUGUAAGUAGUCUAUGUUUAAUACUCCAAAUUAAUGUCCAAACAUCUGAUGUCACAGAGACUAAAGUUUAGUCCCUGAUCCAAACACCACCUAAGUUCUGUUCUUCAUUCAUUUACUUACUCUAUUCCAAAAUAAUAAAAGAAAGAGAUUCCAAAUACAUUUUUAAAAAGAAAUUGAUUCAUUCUCUCUCUAUCCCAAAAUAAUAAAAGAAAGAGAUUCCAAAUACUUUUUAAAAAAGAAAUUGCUAGCGUGUUGAGGAUUGAACACGAGACCGCAAGGUUGAAACGAUACACCCGUUACCACUACUGCAUUUCUAUUCCAAAACAUAACAAACUUUGAGUUUAAAGGUUGCUAUUACCUAGCCCCCGACAAAUAUAUAACUACCCCAUCCAUUAAAAAAAAAAAACUCAAUUCUAGCUACGAACCUGGACAUGGUUUGUCUUUUUUGACAAACUAGUAGGUAGCAACAUUUUUAGGCCGUAAGAAGUAAUAAAUUCUCUUUUUAUUAAAUUAAUUAAUGUGGGGAUUCUAUGUUCAUUCAUUUCAUUAUACUUCUCUUGGUCAUAAAUAUUUCUUCAAACUCUAUAAAAUUUCAACAACUGAUUUUAUGUUAAAAGAAGUUUUUAGGAUCUAAUAAAUUUAUGAUAUUAUAAUAGUACUUUUUGAGAUAAAUCUAUGUAGUAGUAUAUCAUUUGUUUUGUUUCAAGUCAAAACAUUUAAAAAAUCAUGGAUUGUCGGAAUUGUAAGAAGUUUGAUCAGAUAUUAUCGUAAGCAUCAAAUGUUUUUGACAAGAGGAAGUACAUUAUGCCAAGUCCUUUUCGGUUGCAUAAUUAUUGUACAGUUGUAUAUUAUAGUAUGACAAAGUCACCAUUGUACAGUGGGAUGACUAGAAGGUACGCAUUCUAAAUUAUUUAUGGACGAAUGGAUUAUAUGCGUUAUUACACUUUUUAAAUUAUGAUUUCUCCAAAAGUAGGCAAUUCGUCUAUGCUAUUUUUAUUUUUAUAAAAUAUAAUAUCUAAUUUCUUCGUACUUAAUUGCAAAAUAACAAGUAGUGACAUCAAGAAAAGCUUUUUAGGAUUGGUUGAGAUUUGGACAUGAUCUCAAUAGCUUUAUAUAUAUAUAUAUAUAUAUAUAUAUAUAUAUAUAUCAAGAAAAGCUUAAUUUAUUCCUACUUAGUUGAAUCUGCCCAACCAUAAAAAUAACAGGCCCUAACAUUGAGAAAACCAAAGCAACUUUUUUUCAGAGGAAAAAAAUAGAAGAUGUAAACCAAAACUAACCCCCGAAUUGAUCAGCAAUGUUAGUAUAUAGCCUUGGCUUACGGCAUCAGGAACUAAACCACAGAUUAACUAAAUCCAACAUGGAGCCCUAAUUAUUUAUCAGAUAGAUACAAACACGUCGCCAUCGAAAACCGGCACCGUCUUGUAAUCAUACUUAAUUGCAAAAAGAAAAAGAUUUGGUGAAACGUUUCUUUUAUGCCUAGUUGGGUGGUGACAUCAAGAAAAGCUUAUUAGGAUUGAUUGAGAAUUUAGACAUGAUCUAUCGACGCAUGCACUGCCUUUGCUUUCCACGCAACACCCAUAUGAGCUGAAAAAUUGGAUUGCAGAAUUAUCAAGAAAGUGAAAUGAUUUUGAUUGCUAUGCUGUGGAACUAUAGCAAUCAGUCCGAGUUGUAAAGUUUCAGUUAGAAGAAAAAUAAUUGCAGAUAAAAAUUCUUGUCUGUUUUACUCGGUCAAAAUCGCCGGUCAACUGGCCGGUGUGCUGCUCCACUCAAAGUCUCCUGUGGUAGACUUUGGGGUUACACAGAGUCACUGUUCUUUGAACGCGGUGAUAGCUAGGUUUACUGUAUGUGUACAUCCUGUUUGGAAUGAGAAAUUCCGUGGAAAUUUCACAGUAUUUUCAAGACAGACAAUGAACAAAAAACAUUUAAUGAUUUUUUCAGGCAUAUGAAAAAUUCCUAUGCUUCAAACGAGAAUUCACGAUGGAUGGUCUGAAUCUAGAAUUAAGAUCUUUUUGACGUAAAUUCAGAGAAAUAUGUUCGCUGACAUGUUAGACGACGGGGAAAAGUUAUGUCAGAGAUUCUUAUUAAUCCCUAAAUUUGUAGUGGGUUGGGAGCGUUUUCAAACCGCUGAUCGCCUCCGAAUUCAGAUCAGCUAAUCAAACCGGUGAUCAUUCCAGCGUCGUCUCAUCAUCGACCCCAUGUGGAUUGCAACCGUGCACGCCAACCGACAAUCAAUCAUUGGGUAACCUCUGCAUCAACACGGGUUUAGAAUUCAGAGAAGAUACGAGUUCGAUUAGAAUUCAGGCAUGAUCAGCAGCAGUUUAAUUAUAAUUUCAGAAGAUAAGAUACCAUGAGCUGUGGAUGUUCUGCUGUUCGUCUGUUACUAAAAGAUCAGUUGUACUAGCUAUGCUAUGCUCGAAUGAUUGUGUUUCUCCAUCUUUUUUAAGGUUGGAUUAAUUUAAGCUGCUAAUUACGUAACUUGAGGAAGAUAAUUUAGACUUAUAUUAAAUUAUGUGGCUGACGUGAUUUUGAUCGAUGGGCGAGAUGCACAUCGGUUGAAUGUUGAAUUGGACCGCACCUGCUGACCCAUUCGAAUCAUCUAAAGUCGCGCAUCAUUUUAAAUACUAAUAAUCUGGGCACACAUCGAUCGCUAAUUUGAGCACUGGGUUUGGAGAGAAUAAAUUAAAAGAACCAACACGACAAGGAACAGACAUCUCAUUGAUCGGUUUCGCCGUCGCAAUCGGCGAAACUAUGAUGAACAUGUUAAAAAUAAAUAAUUUAAGUUAAGCCGACAUCACUCCAUUUGAAAAUGAAGCUAGUGGGAUGGGUUAUAUUAUGGUUUUGGUUAGAAUUUUGCCAUCGAUUAAUAUGACCUAUAGCUCUACCGUAGGUUCUUCAGCUUAUCGUCCGUAACAAAAAAAUAUAUUUAGGAGUAAUUUUUAUUUUAGGGUUGAUUUUAAUUUUUUUAAUUUUAUUUUCUUGCAAAUGAUCGUUAAUUAAUAAGAGCACAUAUAUAAAAGUUUCACUUAUUAUUUAUUCUUAUAAGUUAUAUGCGAAAUGAUAGGAUUAUUUAAGGCCAUGUUUUUUAACACUUUUCCGACUUAUACGUUCGUAUUUUUCACACGCGUUUUUUAAAUUGUUAAACGGCGUGCCUUUUAUAAAAAGUUUCUAUAGAAAAAUCUCUUUAAAAAUCAUAUUGAUUCGAUUUAAAAGUCUUUUUUAACUAAUAUUUAGCUAAUUAUACGUUAAUCUGCUCGUCGGGUGGGAGGGGAUCUCAACCCUAAGUAAAUGAACACAGCCUUAAUCAUCUUCUCACACUUAAUUGCAUACAGUAUCACUUCUACUUUUCUUUUUUUUUUCUUUGUGGAAAAGACUAUGCUAUUAGUAGCUAUUAGUAUUUCUUUUGAUUCCUUGACAGGUGAUCUGACGCAAUUUGUAGCUAUUAGGCCCCGUUCGAAUCCACUUAAAAUAGGGGAUUAAAUUUUGGAUUAAAAUAGCACGACUUUCAAACUGCUAAACGGUGCGUUUCAUGCAAAAAUUUUCUAUAUGAUCCAUUUUUCAAGUUUAUAAUAAUUAAAACUCAAUUAAUCACGUAUUUAUUACCACAUCGUUUUGCGUGAAAUACUUAAUCUUCAUCUUUAGAAGAUUCAAACACCACCUUUUUAGGUAUCAGAAAGUUUGCAUAGCACCAUGGCUAGCUAAUGAUGGUAUGUGUUGAGGUAUCAGAAAGGUGGCAAAGGUGCGGUCAAUAAUUCAGUCGAAACAGUCCGUACAUGUGACAUUCUGUUAGCAAUUUCGGUGAUGUCGCCUACACAAUAAUAAGAUAAAGAGGAUGCCGAAUAUGACUGAAAUAGAAAUACGAGUACUAAAGAUCAUUUUUUUCGCUUCUGUGCACUAGUUCGCUGAGAUGGAGAGCAUCAAGCAUGCCGGCCAAGUGCCCAUAGUACAGGUUAUGUAUAGUACAUGCCCUCUUUUUUCCCUCGUUAUGGAAUGAAUUUCUAUUAUGUAUAUUUUUUUCAAAAAGUAUAUUAUAAUACUCUCACCGCUCUAAAAUAUAUUCAGUCCGUGCCAAAAUAAGUACAUUUUGCAUGGUUUAUGUGAAACGUUUGAUCAUUCGCUUUAUUUGAAUUUUUUUUAUGAUUAGUAUUUUUGUUAUUAUUAGAUGAUAAAACAUAAAUAGUACUUUGUGUGAUUUUUUUUCAUAAAUUUUUUAAAUAAGACGGACAUCAAACGCUGGACGCGGAUUCUCAUGGCUACACUUAUUUUCGGACGGAGGUAAUAAUAACUUUUAGCCUUCAACAUUUGUCCUAAGAUAUGACAACUUAUUCUCUUCUCUACUAACCACAACCUUGCACCUCCUAAUUUUCUCACCUAGCUACCUUAUCCUUUCAAUCAAUCACAACUUUCACAUACUUUCUCCGUUUUAUAAUGUAAAACUUUAUAGCAUUGCCCAUAUUCAUAUAAAUGUUAAUGAAUCUACAUAUAUAUAUAUAUAUGAAUGUGGAUAAUAAAAUACAAUAAAAUAUAUGUCUAGAUUUAUUAACAUUCAUAUGAACGUGGGUAAUGCUAAAAAUUCUUACAUUAUGAAACGGAGGGAGUAUUUAAUUUCAUCUAUUUUAUUGUUACUUGUGAUUAACACUAAAAUAUUUUGAGACAGAGGUAAUAGUUAAGUCAUUUGUUCGAAACAUUCCUCUUUCGAAGGUAAUGAGCGUCCAAAAGGACAAGCCAGGUGAAGUGAACUGGAUGAGCUCAUCGAUUGGCUCACCUGCCAAGUACACCGGAUUGGGAUCCUCUAACGUGACGUGAAGUCAGAUAAACGUGUCGACUGAUAUGUGGGCCUCACCGUCUACGGGUCCACUUGUUAGUGACCGCGUCGGAGGAUAUGCUUCCAAGUACACCGGGUGCUAGCUAGCCUACUACUGCUAGUCUCUAGUGAGAGUCUAGUCUCCUCUCCACAUGUUACACGUUCUGAGAUGAACGCAAACGCGUGAUGCUCACACCAAACGACGAACAGAAACGCCAGGCCCGUUUAGUACCCAAAUUUUUUUUCCCAAAAACAUCACAUUAAAUCUUUGGACACAUGUAUGAAACAUUAAAUAUAUAUUAAAAAAAACUAAUUGCACAGUUAGGGGGUAAAUCGCGAGACGAAUCUUUUAAACCUAAUUAGUCCAUGAUUAACCAUAAGUGCUACAGUAACCCACAUAUACUAAUGGUAGAUUAAUUAUGCUAAAAAAAUUCGUCUCGUUUUUUCAGGCAAGUUAUAAAAUUAGUUUUUUCAUUCGUUUCCAAAAACCCCUUUCGACAUCCGGUCAAACAUCCGAUGUAACACUCAAAAAUGUUCAUUUCGCAAACUAAACAGGCCGAGAUUGAGCACUGUACAUACAUAAAAUCCGGUGCCGGGGACAAGCCCCGUACGUCUCGCCGCGCGCAUCGUGGCGCCUAGUAGCUCUCUAUUAGAGCAAGUUCAGUAUAGCCAACUAUUAGCUCUAAUUUAUCUAUAGUCAAUCUAAUAGCUUAUUCAUACAAUAGUUACAUACUACACUAUUAAUACCUGGUCCCACGUGUCAUACACAUAUUAUGUCUUGGAGUCCGUGCUACAGCUGGCUAUAAAUUUGUAGCCCGCUAUUUUUCUCUCUUCUUAUUUAUCUUCUUAAAAUAUGUUUACAGCGUCUGCUAUUGUACCUGCUCUAACCUCUCGUGGGUUGCCUGCCGGCGAUGGCGAUGGCGAUGGCCGAGAGACGCGUCGUCCUGCUCCGUGCGGCGCCCCGUACGUCCAAAAGCGCAUGCAUGCGCAUGGUUGGUUCUGGUCGCCGUCGUCGCUUUCGCCCGCGUGGGGGUGUCGUCGCUGUCGCGCGGCGAGAGGCCAGCCAGGGCCACCACAGUCCACAGCUGCUGCCAGCUGAUUGCGUUGCACCGCGCGCGCGCCCGAAUUAUUACCGCCGCGGCGUGCGUGCAUGGCAUGGCAACGAUGAGUACGACCUCUCUCCGAUGGCGUGUGAGCGUGGAUAGAUCGGUCCAGGUUCUCCGCAAAGGGCAAACGCAUUCCCGGCCGCUGGUCCCAACCCAACUGCAGUUCGUGUUACCAACUACUCCCCUCUCCAACACUGUAAUAAGGGGCGGAUCCUGAAAAAAAAAAUUAGGGUGCUUAAUUACACAGUGUUUCAACCCCUGUUAAUUUAGAGGCUUUUAGUUUAUUAUUUAUAGUGAAAAAGUCGAAGAGAAUGCUGCGAAGAUAUCUAUAGAUCUUGUGAGGUGCAGGGGGACUUGACGUGGGAUCCGCUCCUCUGCAUGUAUCAUGCUUGCUGCUGCCUGCUGCCACCGGCGAUUCAUCAUAGCCGUUGCGUACGUGUUGCUUUCCUAACAACACUGCAUGCAACUGAUGGUCGUGGAGCUAUAUACAAGAGUACUCUAUCUGUUAAAAAAAAACUGAUUAUGUAACCAGUUUUUUUUUACGCAGAGUACGGUUGCAUUCUUUACUCGUGUUCUUAACUUCACCCCUACUCGCUUUUUACAUGAACGCUUCCCAAACUAUUUAAAUGUAUGUUUCUUAAAAAAAAAGUUAUAUAGAAAAGUUGUACUAUAAAAUCACACUAAUCUUUUUUUAGAAAAUAAUACUUAAUUAAUCAUACACUAAUUGAUAAGUUAUUUUCCAACUCAGUUUGUCAAACUCAGACUACAGCUGGUAUGAUACUAAGGCUGCAUUCGUUUUGGAGAACAAAGGAUGUGCUUAGAUGGUGGAAAAGUUGGGAAGUUAGGAGAAAGUUGGUAGUUUAUAUGUGUAGGAAAGUUUUCGAUGUGAUGUGAUAUUGGGAAUUUGGGGGGAACUAAACACGGCCAAAGGGAGUUUGUUUGUUCCGUUUUCCGCGCAUAGGCUUCCCACACUAUUAAACGGUGUGUUUUUUAUAAAAAUUUUCUAUAUGAAAGUUGCUUUAAAAAAUCAUAUUAAUCCAUUUUUGAAGUUUAAAAUAGUUAAUACUUAAUUAAUCAUGCGCUAAUGACUCACCUAGUUUUACAUAUCUUUCCAAUCUUCUCGAUCCCCUCUCACUCGAGCAUUAGGGCACCCAUAAUGGUUAUCUAUAGGCUCUCUACAAGAGAUCUAUGUCAGUAUAUUUUUCUACAUGGAAGAUAUUAAAUGAAGAGAGAGAGAGCAAAGCUAUCUACUAACUUAGAGAUAGUCUAUAAAUAAAAACGAGGCAAUGCAUGAGAGAGCUAUAGAUACCCAUGUAGAUACUAUUGAGGUGGUUUACUAUUAAUCUAGUCUAUUGCUGAGAUGUACAUGUUUUAUAGAGAACACCUUACUUUACUAUUACAGAUACUUUUAGUGUACGGAUCUAGUAGUCAUCGGCAUGCAGCUAGCUGGGAUCAUCGAACGACCAACGUACUCCGACAUAGUACGUACGGUUUCGACCAUUGAUUGAUUUGGGUCUCGUUUGAUUGUAAAAGCAAAGCUCAUCUGACUGAUCGAGUUUAGCUAGCUACUGGGCAAUUGGGGUCUUUCUUUUCAUCUAGAUCUCCCGGCUAGCUUGAUUUGCGAAAGAGUUUCCUACUUUCCUUUGUUUAUAAAGUACGUUUAGUGAUCGAUCGAUUUCUUUGUUUAUAAAAAGCUCUGAGGAUGGAUGCAUCAUCAUUCAUAUCCUCGUCACUGACGAUAACAUGAGGCGCCCGGUCGAUUGGCACGCCACUAAUAUUAUUGCCGUGUCGCUUUCAGCACUGCGAAGAUAGCGGUAGCAAAGGUGCCUUUGAUUGAUUGAUUGAUUUUUAAGGGUGAUUGAUACUUAGUACAUUACAUUCCUAGCUGUAGCCUGUGUUUAGUUCACACUGAAGUUGAAUAGCAGUUGGGUACUCCAUCCAUAGCUGAGGAUGAAACACAAUAUGAUAUCUAGAUUCAUUCUAUUAGAUUAUGUCUUAUCCCUUAUGUUGAUUUUUUUUUGACGGAUAGAGUACUUCGUAUAGUCUAGCUAUACAGUGUCUUCAGGUGUUGCAGAAGUCUGUGUGCUGUUGAACGAACCAGAUAGGAGAAAUUGGUGUAAUCUGCUUGCUGGGGUCAUCAGAAAGCACCAGGCCCGAUGAUCAAGACCCACAAGACACCAAAUUGGUGGCCCCUGUGAGCUAAAGUAAGGAUACCUUUGAUUUGUAGAAAAAAUGUAGAAAUUUUGGAGGAUUUCAAUCCUAUAGAAAAAAAAUCAUAUGAAGGCCUUUGAAACGAAGAGUUGAAUCCUAUCCAAUCCUUUAAAAUUUCUAUGGAAUGGGUAAUCCUAUGCACAUUUGGGGAAAAGUUAGCAAGAGCUCUAACCUCUUGGAACAUUUCCUCUGAGUCUAUCUCUCUCAUCUGAUUCCUGCGUUUUUCCUGUGGUCCAAUCAAAUGGUCAUUCCUGUGUUUUUCCUGUAUUUUGCAAUUCUCUGUUUUACAAUUGUAUUCCUGUCAGAAUCCUAUGUUUUUCCUAUUCCUCUGUUUGUUCAUUCCUAUGAUUCAAAAGGGCCCUAAGCUUUGCAACAUCGGCGAUCCACUUCCACUCCAUCUGAAUGCUGUCGUAUAGCUGCCGUUCAGGCUCAAAAUUGCAAGUUGCUGUUUCUGAAACCGAUGGAAUUCAGUGGAGAAGAUGCACAAGUUCAGUAAAACGCUUGAUCACUUGUUCUGAUAGUCAGAUGAUUAGGAAGAACACAGAAGUACAAAACUUGGUCACCAAAGAUUAGUUCCCAGCUGACUACUCUGAUGGUGGUGCCACAUCAUAAUCACAACAGUUGAGAAACAUUUGUUCUGAUUUAUUACCUUGUUCAAUAAUCACACGCUCUUUUUUCCCCUGAUUUAUUCUAAUUAUUAAGAGUUCCCAACUUCUAGUGAGUGAGUAUCAUUCUUGUUUGCGCUUUUCAGACUUCACUCGAAGGCUUGCGAACAAGAUUGAAUGAUGAGCUAUAUAUCAUCUUGCAGGUUGUGAUCUUUGCAGCGAUGAACGCAAGAGUUUCAGUACAACACUUCGAAUGGAAUAGCGAUGGCGUCCGACGAGGCUUCUGGUUGCAAAGAAUCUGACCCCACACGUCAGAGUAACAACAAGUAGCAACCCGAGUUCAUGGGCCACUUGGGCCGCUCUACUACUUGGGCUCUGGGAGGUUAUUAGGUCCACGCGGUGGGAAAUCACAAGGAUUCGCUCGCAGCAGCCAGCAGCGAAGGUUGCCGUUGCCGGUUGAUUUGGUGCGAGAGUUUAGUACCACCUCGCCUGUUCAGCUGGGAGAGGCGGUCGCGCUAGCUAUAAAAGGAGGCCGGGGGCCUCCGUUUCAACUCAUACCUUUCUCGGCCUUUUGGCUAAGAUCAAGUGUAGUAUCUGUUCUUAUCAGUUUAAUAUCUGAUAUGUGGGCCAUGUGCCCACUUCGAUAUUAAAUUUAUUUUUUGUGGGGGAGGGUCCACCACAGUGGCUUGCCACUGGGGCCCUCGCACGUCGCCCAGGCGUUGCACUGCUGCCCGGGCCUGGCGCACCCCAACCAAAUCAAAUUUAAAACUUUUAACUCUUUAGAAGUUGGUUUAAUCACAAUUUUUUCUGAAGAGCAUGCUUUUGUAAGGGGGGACUGUAAUAGAAUUGUUUAAAAUCUAGGUUAAAAUGGUUAAUUUGGAUUAGCAGUGGUCCUUGCGUUUACAUUUUCCUUCAGAUCCAUCUUGAUGCUGUAAAACGCAUGCAGCAACAAUAGAGCAGUUUGAUGAUUCAGGAGCUCUUGUCUUCCUCUCCACCCCCUGCGCCCCGAGCCCCCGAGCAUGGCGAUCCUCGCAUCCCCUGCUCCCUCUCCAGCUCCGUCCCGCCCGCAGGGACGCCUAGUUGUCCUGUCACGCAAGAGCUUGGCACCCCACUUGGUCAUUUGUUUGUUCUUGCAGUCAGAUAUAUAUAUAGGGGAUCGAGAUCACCUGCGGUAAUUAAAUCAAUCUGGAGACUGGAGUUGCGGCGCCGGCGCUGUGGACGAAGACGACGUAGGGUUGCUGCAUGGUCGAUCUCUCUCAGGCGUCCAGUCCAGUGGCAAUGGACACGGAGACCGGCACCAGCAAGGGGCAACGGCGGCGGCAUCGCAUGCGCUGAUGAUGGAGACACGGCCGAAAAUCGCAACCGCCCGACGGCCGGUGUAUGUGCUCUGGUGAAGGGCGGUGCCGGUGCAAUUGGGCGAUAGUUUAGCCUGGGCUUUAGGUAUGCGCGCGGCAAGCAAGCGUUCCGCCGCCGGUGGCGAGCAGUGGUGGUAACCCGGCGGUCUUGGAUAGCCUGCUCGUUAAUGUUUUCGAAACCGAUGGAAUUCAGCAGGAGAUAGCAGAGGGCUAGAGAAAAAUAGAGAGCGACCACACAUCAACCUCUCAAUACGAUGAAAACAAGGGCCAGAGAUGCAAUAAGCAGUAAAACCAUAAUCAAAUCGGUACAAAUUGAACGAGAAUUGUUCAAAACAGGCAUCAUCACCAAAUAAUCAACAAAUAGAUUUCAACUUCAUUGCUUGAAGACAACUUCAACCUUCCAUGCUUUCGAAGAGCAGCAAGUAGCUUCCAUCCCGAUAGAAAAAGGCAGAACGUUCAUGUAGGAAUUAAGCUAAAACCAUCCGCAUAGAUAGAUGCAAUGGCAUGCCUGAGCUCAGUAAUAACUAAGAUGAAGAACCUAACUCCAGCCGCACUCAACAAUACGGACAAAUAUUGCUACCCUGUAAAAAUAAAGUUGCAUAUACAAAAUUACAAAUAUUGUUACCCUGCAUAGGACAUCGCAAACCAGAGCAGAACCUGCAAAUUACAGGAAAAACGCCAUUGUAUACAUAUUCAGAAACCGGCUUGACGACUUCAAGGCAAAUGAUGCUCGUAACAAUGGUAAGACUAGGGUACAAGAACCAAAACUUCUCUCUUGAUCUGGAAACUGGAGGGUGGUGAGACAGAAGACGCACCCACCACCAAGACCUGAUCAUUGAUGUACCCCUGUGACCCGCUGUUAACCUGCAAAUAUUGUUACCUUGCAUAGAACAUAGCAAACCAGAUAUAAGCAGGUAAAGUACACACCCAGGUAAAGUACAAGGUAAAGGACAACCAGGUAAAGUACGGUAAACUGCAUUGUAUACAUCUGGUGCAACUGGUAAAACUUUGUUCCUAUAAUUUUUUACCCUAAUGGAACCCUAUACAAAAUCCAAGAAAGAUGAAUUCCUUUUGCAGCAUAUACAACUAAUGUUUGCAACGGACUGUUACUAGCAAUCUUAACGAAUAAAUCAUCAGGGAUGCCUGUAAGCCUACCCAAUCUGGUACUCUAUCUACGAAUGGCGAAGGAAAACCAUGGUGAAAGGGAUCGCCUCCUCAAUGCUCCACAUCAACAGCGCCUGCUUCGUCAUCCAUCAUCUACUUCCUGCCAAUGAGGUGAAUGAACAUGCUUAGACAACACAGCUGGAUGCCAACUGAACAGAAAGUCAACUUUUGCACAAGUGAAAACCAUGCAUGGAGUUUUGCCUUGCCGAUUUGACAUGAUAUGCAACUACUAUUGAACAUGAAAAAGGGUAAAUAAAAAGUACAAAUUGGCAGAGUAUCAUGUUUCCAAUGCUAAAAGCUAGUUUAUUUUUUUGGUUGUAAAAGAAGAUGGCAAGCAAUAUCACGGAGGUUCCACAUGUUUUACCUCGUAACUGCACUAGUACUACUCUCCUAGAAUACCUUAAGAAGUUGACUGUAACAAAACCUAUUUAUGUGACUCUAGUAUGAAGGACUUCUAGCAAAAUUAUUUAAUUAAUUUUGGCCUGUUGAGAAAACGACAGCUAACAUAACGAGCUUAAACGUGAAACUGUACGACAUCAAAAACAGAAAUGGGAACUGGUAUCAUGUAGUUUUUACCAUAUAUGAUCACACAGUAGAAAAUAAAUAAAUAUGUGCAGUACUCAUCACGAAGGAAUAGGGGAUUCAUCAAGCAGAAAUAGCAACUCACCUUAGAAAUGUUAGUGCACUGCAAUGGAAAACCAGCUGGCUCAAUUGUAAGAUAUCUCAAUUGACACAAGAAUCUCAGCAAAGUACAGAUGAAAUCCAAAUUAUGACCAGAAGAGUGGAGCAUGGCAAGGUAUUUGCACCCCAAAUGUUUCUCUCUGUCAGCCCUACCGAGAAUGUUAUAACUUGACCAUGGUAAAAGUUGUACCAGAUAUAUGCUUAUUGCAUGUCAUUCUCAAUAAUUUGAACGCUUCACUUGUCAGAUCAGCAUAAUUCCAAAAAGAAAACCACAAAAAAUUGAAUAAUCCACAAAAGUAGCCUUCUCCCUUUUGUAGAUUAUUAUUGGGUUGCACGACUGAUAUAUCAUCCUAUAGCACAAGUAAUAUAUGUUGUGAGGCAGACUGGCAACCCGCACCACUAGUCAGCAGAACUUGUACGAGAGCAGCAGCAAAAAGUUGGGUAGCAGACAGAACAUGCCAGAUAUAUAAGUUUUCUUUUCAAUGUCCACCAUACCCUAUAAAGUCACCACCACCUGAAGAUCAAUGUCAUGAUCAGCAGGAACAGGAUUCUCCUCAGGUUUAUUCUUGGUUUGCAAAGGAAUAGAUUCCUUUAUCUUACCAUUUUCUGAUGCUAUGAUCAGUCCUUUGUCAGAUAUCCUAAUGUUGAAGGGGUCAUCAAGAAAACCAUCCGACUGCGUCACUGCAGCAGAGUGUUCAUUAUUUUCAGUACAGUCAAGCUCUUUUGGACUUAUAAUAUUAUCAAGCUCUUCUGGACUUUUAUGACUAUCAAGCUCUUGUGAACUUCGAUGAUUUUCAAGCUCUUUUAGACUAUUUUGAUUAUGACACUCUUUUUGGCAGUCUUGAUUAUCGAGUUCACCCAGGUUAUUGUCAAGACUAUGACACUCCUUAAGAAUUUCAUGGUUGUUGAGCUCAUGCAGACAGUGUGCUUCUCCACCAGCACAUAUGCUUUCUCCAGUACUAUCAAGCUCCUUCGUAUUGUUAAGAUUGAAGAACAUUUCCAUAUUGACAUCAAACUCUUCUAUCUUGUUAUGAUCACCAAGCUCUUUCUCAGUGCUAGUACUAUCAAGCUCCUUUGUACUGUUAAGAUUAAAUAGCACUUUCAUAUUGCCAUCAAACUCUUCCGUCUUGUUAUGAUCACCGAGCUCUUUCUCAGUGCUAUGACUGUCGAGCUCCUUUUCAUUAUGAUCUUCCUGCGCUUGCAAACAAAUAUGAUCACCAACUUCCUUUUCAAAACUAUGAUCAUUAACCUCUUUCUCAAUGAUAUGACCAUGAGACCCUUCCAGACUGUCAUGGGCAACCAGAUCUGUUGGGCUCCUGUCUUCCUUGUCCUCUAUAGAUCUGCUUGUGACGUCAUCCUUAUCAGAUUGAGCCAUAAGGAUAUUAUCUGUUUGUACAUACGGACAAACAGGUACAUCUUUCAAACGGCAUCUAUGGCACUUGAAACCUAUGAGAUUAUUAACAUUCUCAAGAGUAAUAGAAUAGAUGUCUCCAUGGAACCAAUCUACAAGAAUAAACAAUUCUAAUUAGAACAACAAUUUGUGAAAUACAAAAGUUUGCAGUGGCAGGAAAAGCAACACAAGUCACUGCACAACCAUCAAAAAAUUCAAAAAUGAUAAAAUAUGGUUACAUAAAGAAGUGAUAAGUAAAUGAUGCUCCUCAGUAUGUCCAAGACCUAAAAGUAAUAAGUAGAAAGCACAUAAUCCACAGGAAAAGGAUAGUAAAAUCUGUUAAUUUGUUUCAAGAGGUCCAAGCAAAUUUCAGAUUCAUACUGUCCCCAUCUCUUAGGGCCAAAUAUAGUCAUUCUAUACAGAGAAUGCAGGUUUAAAAAAUUACCUCCACAAUCUUCACAGGCAAUAUAAAUAGAUUCUCCACUGUAGCAUUUCUGGCAUAGACGGCACACUGGAAAAACUUCAGACAGAUCAGCAUCUUCGCAGGGAAAGACAACUCUUUCUGUCCUAAAAGAUAUUGCCCGAUCAUCAUUUGGGUUUUGUGUCCACCGAAGGCCAUCUAACCAGUAUGAAUAAUGAGAAGCAGUCCUCCUCCUCUUUGCUGAACGCUCAGAUAUAUUUGAAUUGCCUUUCAUGUACUUUGAAUAUAAUCUUUUUGAUAUACGUUUAGCUGGCUCAUUCUUGGGCACAUUGGCUGGUUCUUUCACACGCAACUCUGGCAAUUUAUUCUUUGACUCAUUCAGCGGGUACUUCCUAGGUCGGCCACGCUUGCCCUUAUUCUUGCCCAUCUUCUUCUUGGAUUUGGCAACAAUCUGUUUACUUCUUGUUACAAUCUUAAGUGAUUGCUUCUUUGUCUUCUUUUUCAGAGAGUUCUUCUUUGAUACAACCUUUUUCUGUGGAGACUUCACAUUCAAGACCUUCUCAGAUAGGCACUUGUUGCAAACAUAAUAAGCAUCAGUAGCACCUCUAGGAACCUUGAAGUGCUUUUUAUGGAAAAGUGCUGCAUAGAAGAUAAGAAUAUUAGGUAAGUACCAAACAUAAGCAUCCAUGCCAAAGUACCAAGGAAAAAUUUGAUGAUUAUAAGAAAUGCGAUACAUAGCAAAUACAAGGCAGGCUACAUGAUGCAAAUGCAAAGAAGAAAACAAUGUCUAAUACAUACCUUCACAAUAUUGGCAGUUCACAGCAUCACUGUUCAAAAAAAAAAAAGUCAAAUAACUUGCAAGAAUAAUCUAUCAUGCUAGAGAAAUACAAAAUAUUUGUGAAAAUGAGAACAUGCAGAAGUGAUACAUGAUUGAUAAAGUACGGUGGCCUAUCUAAUAAUUUCAGGAGCAAAAUGUUGAAAUCCAAUUCCUACAAAACCUUGGAUGGCUAUAUCAAAACAUUAACCAGAUUAACAAUAUUAACUGUGAUUUGUACAGAAAUGGCACCAUCAGUUAAACUGGCAACUUGGAGUGUGCCAUAAAAUGGGAAUUCUGAAAGGAAGAAAAAAAUCUAGGUACAGAAAAUGUACUUGUAUCUAAACUAGCACAGUCCAAUCACACAAGUUUCAUCUUCUGACAAUCAUUGUUACAGAACACUAUUAGCUAAAUAGCUGCAUCAGAAGCCACAAGUUAACUAAAUGUAAGGGCUUAAUAAGCAAAUUAGCAUCCCAUAUGAAUAUCUAGAACCUUGUUAAGAUUUCUAAGACACAAGGAAGAAGAUAGGAGAAGAAAACAGUCAUAGUACUUGAUUAUCGGAAAGUCAUACGCAUAUAUGCCCUGUAAUCACUAUCCAAAUAUGACAAAAGGUUCUAAAGUCCAUGCUCGCCAAAAACACAUUGACUUAACCAUGGAACUGACCUAUCACAUUCUGACAGCAGAUAAAAAAGACUAGUCUAAAGCACAUUAUUCAAUUAUUUUUUCACAAUAGCAAGUACUCCCUCCAUUUCUAGUAUUGCCCACAUUCAUAUAGAUGCUAAUGAAUCUAGAUAUUGUUAUAUAUAUAUAUAGAUUCAUUAUCAUCUAUAUAAAUGUGGGCAAUGCUAGAAAGUCUUACAUUGUGAAGCGGAGGAAGUAGAGAAGACUGUCACAAAAAGGUAAUGCAAAUGUUCACAAACACACAGCUACUAUAAGCCUAUCAAGUUCAAGGAGGGACUGGUGUGUUACAUAAGCUUUUGCUAGUCCAAUACUGAUAAUUAAUUGAGCAAGAAUAUUCUUGUUGAGGAAAUACAAUGAACUAAAAAUGUGAGUGAAAGAUAAAUGAAUGGUUUCAACAUACCUGAUCUUUACUUCUUUGUCACAAUGGCCACAAAGCCCAAGGACUUGCUUUUUUGCUUUUUCUAGGAGAUCAUCAAAUCCUGAUUUUUUUGGCUUUGGGGGUUUCAAGUCAAUCAUCUUCUUUGGAAGGUGAUCAAUAUCUUUCUUUUUCAGUAAGCGAGUUAAUGCUUUAGCUUCAUAUGCCUUCAAAAGACUCAGAGGGAGAUGUCCUUCACUUAACCAGUAUCUGUUCCUCUCAUUAGAGGGUUCGUCAAGUUUUUUUCCAUGUUUAGCAAUAACUGGAGGAAUAUUCUCCCUCUUCCCAAAAUCAAGUAAAUAUUCCACAUUUGUUCCAUCUACACGCUUUCUGCGAACUAUAACUUUCUUGAAAAGACGUGCUAUUUUCUGGGUUUCCUUUGUUGCAAGGCUAGCAGGGAGAGUGCUCAAUAUCUCAGUCCACCUGAUAUUGAAUUCAAGCUCUUUGAUCUGAAGGUGCAUGAAGGAGCACAAUUCAGUGACCACAUUUUACUGACUGCUUUCCAAAAUAGUAAGAAUAUAUUACCUGCAAAAUAAACUGGGCCACAUUUUCUGCCAUUUCCACAGCAGCUUGCCAAGCUAUGUAUUUGGACCUCCUGGCAAACUGUGAACCAUCACUAUAUAAUAUGGUUGGGAUUUUAAUUCGCCCCGCUGAUACAUACAAGACCACAAAGGCUUAGUACAAAAAUACAAUGGUAAGUAAAGCACAUCUGGAAACUGAGAAGAUUGAAAAUGUAACCUUGCCGAACAGCUUUAUAUGUCAAGGACUUUGGCAACCUCUUCCAGUGAAACACUUGACGAGACAAUCUCCCACCCCUUCGCCAGUAAACACCAACAUCACGAGAGUCAACUUUGAGUUCAACAAUAAAUGGCUUUCUCCCUGGCUUUCUAGUGCUUCCAUGUCUCGAGGAUUUAUUAGAUGUACGAACCAAGACAUGAGCUGCAGACCCAACAACUUCAACAGAGUCUGCUGGUUUUUGCCAUUCCACUGAGAAGGCAACACGUCGCACACUGGACUCCAACUGCAUAGUAUUAGCAGAUAUCAUGAAGUAAGUACACACAGGAUAAAAAGCAUUUUAGUAAGAACAAUGCAUUUAAAAAGCUAUACCAUAAGGAGAGGUUGCUUCAAUGAUGACACAUCUGAAGCCUUCAGAACUGCCUUACGCCAAUAACUGCUAAAUUGGGGAUUUUUCCAUGGACCAAUCAGUAGACCAUUUAGCCGUUCUUCAAUUGACAAGAUGAUAUGUAUGGCAAGAAUAAUAUGGCUGUUCAUAUUCUUUUCUGACUGAAGACCCUCCAUGCAUUUGCCAUCGGUGACUCUGAAAAUGCAAUCAACACCGCCACUGAUUUGGCAGGAAUUACACCAACCACAUUUUUCCUUUCGCAGCUCUACAGACAACUUUUGAUCUGUCAGAGCAAAAAUAUUGGCAUAUUUCUUACAUAUUGUUUUUAGCUGGAAUGAAGCUGCAUCCUGACCAACUUUCUUUCCUUCUUUGUUUUCCGAUAGCUUGUCCUUCAACUCUUCAGCAGCUGAUGCUGCUAUUUGACCAAAACUGUAGUAGUUUACGUACAUAGCAGGGUUCGAAUGGAUAUAACAAUCACUUAUCUUUUUGUGAGGUGAUUGGUCUAUCUUAUUCUCAGCAGGCAAUCCAUUAGCAUAAGAACAAACAUCUUGCUGAGUCUUGGCACUAGUUGCAUUUCCAUUUUCAGAAAUAACCGCAGAUCUCAAGGAGAACUUGUGGUGAGAGGUGUCAUGAUCCAGCCGAUCUGGAUCCGAGGCAUGAGCUUUCCCACAGGCCAAUUGUUCACAGGAGCCAUUCUUAUCUGACUUAAGCUGCUCAUGUUCUGUGUGUUGCUUCGAUGGCAAUAAAUGACUACAGUCUAUCUUGGCAUCAAAGAUACUGAAUUCCUUGUUAUUUUCACAUCGACCAUUGGAAUCAAAAGAAUCAAUUGCAGUGCCCCAAAACAAAGAUAUCAUGUUAGUGAUUGAACUGUACGAGGGAUGGCAUGUUCUUAGCACAUUGAAAAGCGAAUGGUGAUCAAAAAUGCCAUAGUAAUGACAUGUCGAGUCCAGAGAAUCCUCAGCAGUUGACUCAACCCUGCAAAUUCAAAAUGAUGUUAUGCUUUUGAUGUAGCAAAACGUAACAAUUAUACUAUAGUACAUACAGAGAGGUUCAAUUUCCCAAGGUAAACAUCUCGUACUGCACUGCAAUAUAUAUAAAUAUAAAUAUGUAUAUAAAUAUAACAUAUGAAUUGCAAGGAAUAAGAACUAGAUUUUGCCGUGAGGAAAUACUCAUGAACAAGCAUGCACCUGAAUGCAUAAAUGAAAAAAUGGCAUAAAUACUGCAUUGGGAUAUUUAAUAAGUGUAACAAUUGGCAGAUAGUCAUUAAAAAGCAAUACAGUUUGAAAAAUAUUUCGACUAGUCACUUAUAACAUCAUCUUCCGGUUGUUAUAACCAAACAAAACACAGUAGAAUGUUAUAAAAUGAGAAAGUAUAUAUAGGUUUUAGUUUUAACAGGAUAAGCUAAGUUGGUAAAUUUACUCUUCCAAAACCUCUAGCUUAGAAAAUAAGAAAUAUUUCACGAGCUGCAUUGCAUGAUGAAAUUAAAUGCAUUUCUAGGUAUAUAGGUCCAUUGCGUAUAUCUAGACUCGUAUGACACACGUAGCUAGUACACACAUACAAAUCUUGACUGAAGCUUACGUGUUGUUCUAUGGACAGGUGGCACCACGUCCUUGGUGCAGUACAUAGACAGGAGAAAGUGCUACAUCAUUUUUCUUAAAUCCUAAGGCAACUCAAUGAUCAGAACAGUAAAAUUGUGAAUUUAAUUUUUGCAUUAUACUGAGGUUUGGAAUCACGCAAGCUACUAAUAACCAAUAGACAAUAUGGCAGAGGAUUAUUCCCAUUCACUACAUAGCCAAAAGACCCAAAUUUGCGCAUACCACAAAAUAUAUUGACUUACACCAAAAUAUAGCCACAGGUGCCAAAGUAUAGUCGGUCAUGUGGAUCCAUUCCCAGAACCUCAGCUCCUCUUCCAGGCUUUACCAUAUUUUUGAAUCCAUCAUUCUUCUGUAUCAAACACUCCGGGCAAAACCAAUUACCUUCAGGCAAUAAAUCUUCCACUACCCCCACACAUUUAGAGUGAAAUGCAGCAGGACAGCCAUCACAACAUAACAAAUUACCAUCCAUGCCACAAAGAUAACACUCAUCGCUGUUACCAUCUUCAGUGUCACUGGAAUCUUCAGGAGCCCGAGAAGAAUUCAGUAGGUUCUUGACAGCAGAAGCCCUCCUUUUUCUUCUUGUACGAGUGCUUUUACAAAGCUCAUCAUUCCCAUCCAACUCAGACAUCCUUGAAACAACUUCAGAACGUAUAGCCUCAAUUUCCAGAACAUCGUCACAGAGUGCGCGCAGUAACUCUAACUUCACCAUUGCCGGCUGAGUAUAGUACUCUGUAUUCAACAGCUUUAGGUCUGUAAGCUUCAUACCAUACCUCAGUUCUGAACCACGAGUCAAUAGGUACUCAGCAAGAUAGAUUGGCCAAGUUGCUAGGUCCAAAAGCUCCCAGUUAAGAUUCCUACACAUUCAACAUUUGAUAAUUAAAACAUAGUUCUAUUUUUAUAAGCCUAUCUUACAACAACAAAACAAGGAUUCAAGGACUUUUACCUAAUGCAAUGCAUUGCCGGAGGGUCUCCUUCAUUGGCGAGAUCUUCCAAGUGACUCUUCAUCGCUCGCAGGAGAGAAAAAUGAACCCAGUCAAUCAAAGGGUUCACAUAUAUACACCGCAGUGCAGCCACAAAUGUCUCCAGCAGGAACGGGCUCAGGAACAGCUGCCUACUAAAAGACCUCAAGCAGGAGUACACUUGAAAGACGUCGAGAGCAGGGAGACCUUCCAAAUCCAAACUCUGCGACGAGGGUGGAAGCUCCGGCUUCGGAGGCAGCCUCUCCACCGCAGCCUUCUCCAAAUCCUUCGCGACAGACCGAUACCUGCCAGCCCCGCUUGCACGCUUACGCUUACUCCCAGACUGCGGUGGCGUAACAGCAGCCUCUGCCUCGGCCUCGGCCAUCGCGGCAGCAGCUGCUUCAGCCUCAGCGGCGGCCGCCACAGCGGCGGCGGCCUCCAUUUCGGCCACCCGCGCGGCCGCCUUCGCCUGCCGCGCGCUCCGCCGAAGCGGCUUCCCGGACGACUCAGGCCCUGGACUCACCACCCUCCGCCUCUUCUCCGCCAUCUCCGACACCACGUCCCCAUCCACCUCAUCCCUACUACUCCCCUCCACCACCACCACCGGCGACGCGGGCUCCGCGCCACCGGCGGGGACAGCCAGAACCACGGAAUCCACCUCCAUCGCCACCACCGCGCCCACGCCAACGCCCCCCUCCUCAUCCCCGCGCCGCCGCUUCUUCGGGCGCCGCCCGGGCGUCAACGGCAGCGGAUGCGCCAUCUCCACCCCAACCGGCGACCCACCAACCAGCAACCCCACCACCUCCCCAAGCUCCACCUCCUCGGAGUCCCCGUCCUCGUACAUCACCCGGAAGUACCCCGCCUCGGCGUCGUACGACUCCACCACCCCGUCGAACACCCCGAACCCCGGGAACUCCUUCCUCACCGCCCUCCCCACCAACCCCUCCAUAGCCACGAACGACGGCCCACGGCCGCCGCCGCCCCGGGAAGGCCCGAAUUCCUAGGGUUUGCGGGCAGGGGAAGGCGCGUAGACGGCAGAUCGGGGUGGCGGCGGCGGAUCAGGGCCCGGAUCGGAGGUCCCCGGCGGCGGGGGAGGCGGGGUUUGGCCGCUUCGAGGGUUGGGAAUUUGGUCCGCGGCGAUGGCGAUGAGGAGGAGGAGAAGGGGAAGAGGAGAAGAUGGAGGCGUGGUUAUAUUGUGGGUGAGGAGAAGGAGGCGUGAGGCGUCUCCUCCUCGUGGGAUGGGCGUUUCGGGCGCGUGGUGUGCGAGGGCGAGAGGCGACGCCUACGACGAGCCGAGACGGAGGAGGGAAAAGGAAAAAUUGGCUCCAAGGGGGGAUAGAAUUGGUUCGAAGGUUUGAUUUGAAAUGGAAUGGAAUAGAGAGGUGCAAAAAAAAAAAAGAUGGAACAGUAGAAUGAUGUUUCCUUCCUUUGCUUCGCUUUGUGAGUGACUGUGGGUUUUUCUUUGGGGUGUCUGGUGUAGCAUUGGUCCACUUUUUGGUUUGGGCUGAAAUGAUGCAUGGCUAAUGUGGAAUGUCAUUAGGUUUUUUUUAAGUAGGUGUUUAAUUGGAUGGUAGAAUAGGACUGUUUUAAAAGAUUGCUUUUUAUAGAGAUGAACUUGUUGGUUGAUUUUUUUUCGGUGUGAGGGGUUUAUGUUUAACUUGCUUGAAGUUCUAUGAAACCACUCGUGUUUGUAUAGGAAGGAAUGAUGAUCGUUGGAGGUACAUGUUUACAUAAAUAGCAAAAUAAAAUAGAUAUGAGACUACAUUCUGGUCAUCUAUUGUUUAUACUGAUAGCUAGCUUGAUGAUUUUUGUUGAGAAUGUUGCCCUAGUUUCACAUAAUAAUUGAAAUUUCAAAGUGUUUAACCAUGGAAAAGGAUUUGCCUAGAACACACCUGAAAUUCCACACAAAUCAUGUAUGUCGAGUCUUUAACCUUUUUGUCUUCUCCAAGAUCUACACACCUAAGACUUUGAUCGUUGACAAGUUCGACCAAUGCUUAAUGGUUGAAGACAGUGGAUCCAAGCGGCACCUGCAAAAACACCAAUGGAUAUCAACGAUUCCGUCUAAUCCUUCCAUGUCUAUCAUCAACGAUGGAACAUCCCCAUCCCAUCCCUUCAAAUGCAUCAGAUUCCAGCACUUAAAAAUAAGUCAGGGACACAUGUACAUAUAUAUACAUCCAAAUGUAGAUAUACUAAUAGAUCUAACAAAUCUACUUGUUUUUGUUGAUAAUGUUUCCACCUGACUGAAAUAAUAAUAAUUCGAAGUGCAUAAAGGAAACGAUUCGUUAUGGAACACAUACCUGUUUUCCCCAAUAGAUUAGAAGGAUUUUCCUUUGAUUUCUCCAAGAUCUACAUGUAAACUUAGUAUCUUGACAAGUAGCACUACCCAAUGAUGGAUGGUGGCCAACAACGGCGCAACAAGGCAACCAAGAACCCAUCGCUUGCAAAGAUCAUCAAAAGGCAACAUUGCCAACACACGACAUCACGGUUUUGAAAAGUCGAGGACAAAUAAAUCAUCGAAGGGCAAGAUGGUGCCAUGGUGGCGAUGGCAACACCGACGACAGAUCGAUGUGGAAGGUGGCCCUCCACUAGGCAAAUGGUGCAAGAUCGGGGUGGUAGGCUUCGAUUCAUGUAGGGAGAUGGCUAUCUAGGAAGGAGAUGCAUACGGCGGCGGGGGGGGGGGGGGGUAUGGGGAAGAAGAUGGAGCGAGGAGGGGGAGGGCUUAUAUAGUAGGGUUUGGUUAGUUGCACGAAUCUCAAGAUAAAAUCAUCGGGCCAAAAUGUCGCCCCAUUUGUUGAGUAGUCACACGAAUCUUAACACAAAAUCGUCGGCCCUAAGGUAUCACUCAUUCUGUUAAUAACUUUUUCACCCACUACAAAGAUGAUUUUCUUUGCAAAUGUAGUAGGCCAAGCCUAUUAAACAUCACGCUACCCUUAGAAUGCAUUAGAAGAUGAUGGCACAUUUAUCAUAUAUGAUAAGAAAAAAAAUAUCUACGUGAUUACCUACAUCUAUAUUUGAAAAUUUAUUGUUCUGUUCGAUAAUAGCUUCCAAAGCCCCGACUGACUUUGUGAGAUCAACAUUUAUGUGGAAAUUAAAUGCCCCUUCGUGUUAUUUCGAAAAACUUAUUUAUGUAGAGUUUGGCUCCAUAGGAGUAUGUGUUAAUCAAACUGGCCUUGAGUUACACACUUAUUUGGUCUACAAGGCAUGCACAGCAAAAAGAGCGGUACGCGUAUCAUCUAAUGGAGCCACACCUUACAUCUUGAGACUCUGAUUAUAGACUCUCCACUUCAACUGACCUGGCACGCCAGGCGCCAUAAGGUCCAUGGCAAAAACACCACCCAUCCAUGUUGAGUCUAUAACACAUAUGUCGUCAACAUGGUUACAUCAUGUCUAUCUCCGUAUUUAUAGAGAUGACCCAGGUUAUAAAUCUUGAUACUAGCGGUAUUCAUUUACCACGAUUAACUCAAAAGUCAUCUUGCAACUUAUUCGACACAUAUUCCAACAAUAAUCUUAUACAUCUAAGUCUGUAGUAUGACAACACAUUUCUUUUGCUUGAUAUAUACACCGUUUUAAAAAAUUACUGGCCAUGAAUCUAAAUAUUGGUAUGUCCAAGUUUAUAAUUAUACGCAAAGCCUGGGUACGGACUGCUUGAUUACUUCUGUCGGGAGAGCAAAACGUCGUACUUCCCGGGUAGGGUUGUUUGCUCCAUGAAGCAUAAUAGCCGUUGCAGGUUCAAAAACAGUAUAGGUAUAGACUACAGAGUGAACACGGCGUUUAGUUCAGUCUUGGAGGGAACAUAUGUUUUGAACUUCCGUUAGGAUACUCCCUUUCUUAACGAGGUAGAGGCUGCCUCGAAGAUGAUGAUCAAGCUACUAGCUAAUACAGGCAUGGAUUGUUCGUGCCAUAUUUCAAAAGGUACAGUUUAUUUAAAAAUUUCCUGCAAAAGUAUUUACAAAACAACUUUUCUCUAACCUAUUCGUUAGAAUUAUAGAAUUUAAUUCAUCCAUACGAGCAAUUUUCCUCAAUUGAUAAUUUAUCAAACCAUCCUGUUAGAAUGCGCCCUAACCUGAACGGACUCAUCCCAGUUGUAUUAUGAGUGAUCAAAGUUCAAAGCUACAAUAUAUUUAUACAAUCUUGUACAGUCGUACUGCAACUGACCAUUUCCAAAACAUCUUUGAAGUGCAUUUUGCUUCGGAUUAUAAGCCACAUUAAGGGAAUUUUUUGCACCACAUAUCUACCAAAUUAUUUUAAAAAAGAAGCUUCGCAAAAUAUGGAGGUACGAAAUUCUGUGUGACCGAAAAAGGUUGUAGCCGUCUCUUUUGUCAUGACUUCAUGAGGAAUCCUUUAAAUUGCUUUGAGCUUUGUCACGCGCUCCGACAGGCGUUUUCACUCUGAAGCUGGACCAUUCCGGGAGCCCUCUGAAGUGUUCUGAAGCUGAGCCCAGUAACCCACUGAAGUAAAUGACACACAUGUGACAGGUUACUGUAAGAUCAUCAGAAAAGACAAGGGAAAAAAAAACAAAUUCAGAGAUGUACAAAUGACAGAAAUAUUUGGACAAGAACGAAGAUAAACUUGAUGAGUUUUCAUCCUGACAGAGGACAUGCUCCAACUUUUAAAUUAAGCUCCAGGGGUUAAAUCUAGAGUUGAGUUGUGUAGCAGCAUAAACCCAGCUCCACCUCUCUAGUUCAUUUUGUGAGAAUGCUUCACCUAACUCCAGAUGGGGCUGAAACUAUUUACACUGUUUGGCUGGACUCCAGUUACAAAAAAGGUAAAGUUGUGCCAAACAGGCUCAGAAGUAUCCAACUGCAGAGCUCCAAAUGCAGUGGAGUUUCUCCAUUUUCAGAACGUGCAAGACAUUACAGAGAUAGAGGAUGCACGUGCAGCAGAUCAGGAAAUUAUUAUUGGGGAUACUGUACCAGUUCAGACUCUUGUCUCACUUCUGUGCACGAUCAAAUCAGUGGCCCUCCAUUUCUUGAUUCUUCUUCCAGGAACUGAAAACUCCCCAUUCACAACGAGCAACAGCAUCGUACAGGAGCAAUCAAGCUGUCAGGAUGGCAUUCUUCACUGUUUCAUGGGUGAAAGUGAAAUGCUUACAAUUAAAAGAAACAAAGUCAAUGGUUGCUGGUUCUUCCUUACUUACAGACUGACUGGCAUCAGAUUCUCCUAACUCCUCACAAAGGUACACACCAUACAGCCAAGACAAUUUACAUAUAUACCUUUGUAUAGCGAGCCUCCUCGGCGAGCUUAGCUGCUUACAGCUUCUACAAGCGGGGCAGCAUGAACACCAAGGGCUCCACAAUUUCUACAGCACUAGUAGUAACACACCAGUAAAGAAUUUGUGCAUGAGUGCAAGGUCAUUUUACGUGGGAAUCGUAAACGUCAAAAACAGUUUCAGGGAUGACCGUGGGCAACUUGUCUAUGUACAUGAAGAGCCGCCUAAGAUUUUCCUUUCGGACCGUCGCUAUGUCCACUAUGUCCCUGUUAUCUGUAUAUAUCCAUAGGUCGGCCGAGUUCACUCUCUUGAGACUAUCGCGGCAGAAUGGACAAGACUGGGAUCUUGAUCUCCUGCAAUGAAGAAUACAUGAUAAAGUAUACUUCCUCCGUACCAUAAAAAUUGAAUUUUUACCUUUGAACCUUUAUCUCAUAAAAAUUGUAUUUCUACUGAUGUGGGACCAAUUAAACUGAUUACAUUUCCUUGUAAUCUUCUUUCCUUCCAUCCCAUCUCUAACCUAUUAUCUCAACAUUCCUUUUAAUCACAUUUAUAUAUGGAAUUUAUGCAUGUACUACGUUCAUUAAAUAGGGUUAUUAUAGUCAUUUGUCUAUCCUCCUAAUAUGUUCUUAAUUCCAUAGAAAUUCAAUUUUUAUGGGACGGAGGUAGUAAGAGUUAGAAAGGUGCCAUAUUUGCAGAUAGUUCAUGUUAGGAUUAUUGAGAACUACAUGCUAGAGAUACAAAUGACAUGCUAAGAUCAAAAUAUAUGUAACCUGCAGUAACUCAAGCCCUUCUUUGCGCUAUAACAGUAUGCCAGGAUUUACAAUCAACUAGUACUAGUUCGAACUUAGCAAUGCUCAAGCUGCUAAUGCAGAAUAGUCAAAGAGUAAAAAUGUUCUCCACAAAAUUAUUACCAAAAAGAAUAGACUGAAUAACUGAUAGCUAUGUGCCAGGGUACCCCAUGAAAGCAGAUCUGAGACUUUGAAUCACUUAAUAUGCCAACAUACAACCGGCAGCAAUUGGCUAAUAGUUCUGGCAUGGCUAACAGUUUGGCUAUGCUGAGCUUUACCCACACCAGUAUUGCCUUCUCAAUUGAGGUAACAUUAACGCGUUAUUAUCCAAGUUGACAAGAUUCAUUUCUGAAUGUCUCAAGGCAUUAUGUGCAUUAAACAGUGUAGAUUUUAUAAAUUAGGGAAAAUUAGGAGGGCCAAUUUUCUGGAUUAAGUCACACCUCCACCAUUUCAAUCACUAUUCUUUACUUCCUGUAUCAAAGAUCCAAAAUUUUGAACAUUUGAACCAGAAAUUAAUAAACCUGAAAGAUAAAUAUGUCACUGAAAGCAACCAGCCAUUUAAUAAGAACUGAAAUGAGGUUGCUCCAUUCCAUUAGAGAUUGUUAACCACAUAGCCUCAAAGGCUCCAAUUAACAACUACCACCAGCAAGUUUCCAGAACAUGAACUAGUAGUACAGUAGCUAGCAAGCUAAGACCAAUCCACUGGGACCUUCAGCCUUCAGGGAACCCAAAAACGAACUCUGUUUAUUUUUUCCGUAGAUAGAGGAUAUGAAUAAUAUAUACACCCCUUUACUUUAAAUGUCUUUGUAUCUAUUUUUUAAUCAUCUGUGACCCUCUAUCUUUUAGAAUAUCAUCCGUGGGUGGGGUAAGGUUGGAGGACCUUCAAUGACUAAGUCAACAGGCCAAGCCCUGUUUCAGGAUUAGAAGAAGCAGUGGUAGGUUCUCCAUCAGAAAGGCAUGGGACAUCAAACUCUUGAGCUUUCUUUGAAUAAGUCUUUCACUUGUCCAGGCUCAACAGAAUUAAUGAUUUAAAUCGCAAGCCGCAGAGAGUUCAAGGAAGCACAAAAGGGUCCAAUUUUUUAUUAGUAAGCACAUAGGAACAGGGUAAUUCUUUCAUUUGAUUCUAAUAAAUUGAAGGAAUCGAAAUAUUACUGGCACACCAUGAUGGUUAGCAACAGUCUCAUUGUUUUAAUUAAUUAAACUGAAGAUCCAACAUGUAAUUUUCAUCAUGCAGAAGUGCUAUUGCUAUACAGCUAGAGAAACAUAAAAGAUAUUUUCUGAACUGAACCCCCUUAUACAAUAUAAACGCCACAGAGAGAAGAGUGAAGAUGUGUACCAGUCACGGUAGCAUUUAAUGCACAUAGCAUGGCUACAAGUUGGAAGAACUACUUUGCCAUUUAUCUCCAUACAUAUGCCACAUUCCUCCUCGAUGUUAUCAUCAAUCUCUGAAAUCACCAUUUUCUGAUCUUCAUCUCGUCUUCUAUAUCUUUCUAUACAGAUUGCCUUUUGUUUCUUGUCUUCCACUUCAUUGAUCCCUUCAUGUAGUUGCAUCAAAGAAGGAAAUAUGACAGCUGCAGAAAAAACCCCAACACUAAUGAAAAAAAGAACAGUUCAAGAAAUAUGUGUAAAACAAUAGGAUAUCCAAAGUACGCACUAUACCAUAGAAUUCCCUAAUGCUUGCUUUCCUUUCAUGAGCAGACAUGGUGGUAGUCCCAUCAGCAUAAACCUGUAUAGUUAAGAUUAACCAUGGCUCCUAAUAAAGCAGAAAGAGCAUUAGAAAGGAACUUGGCUAAACAGGACUGUUCUCAACCUUAUAAAUGAGAAUCCUCAACAGCCCAAGUGCACCAGCAAGGUUGCAAUCUGUCCACUGCACAAGAAAAAGGAAGAAGUGUGCAGCUGGACAGUAUGACAUUCUCAUCUGAAGACAGGCGCCAUCAUAUUCCCUUCUAAAUUCAGCAGCACUGCAUUUUUACAAACAAAAUAAUUUAGUCUAACUAUUGUAAAACAAUGAUCUUAGGCAGCUCAGUAGCUAGACGGCUGUAGAGCUUUAUCCAAAAAUAACUAUUCAAAGUUUGAUGUUUGGAGUAGAGCUGAAUGUCUCAUGAGACUCAGGUGACUUUCUGCAAGUUUGAUAUACAUGGUACGGUAGGACUUCUGAAUCUUCAAUAAAAGGACUUGUAUCACAGUAUGGGGGUAUUAACAAUAUGGUCGAUGUUAUACGUGAAUGGCUAAAAAUAUGGUUGCAGACCUAUGCUAACAGUUUGCAAUAGGUGUACUCAAAUCAACAAACCAUUUGUCAUCAUUCUCUACAUAUAAAAUUUGAAAACUAAAUAAAUAAAUGUACUCUCAUGGCUACUCCGUGCACAUGUUUAUUGAAAGUUGAAAUUUCAGAAACAAUUAAGGCACCUGGUACAUAGACUCAAUAUUUCAACUCAUCUGUGAUACAUUGUAAAAACCUUGGAAUAGAUCUAUUAAAGCAAAUAAAUUAGUUGUCAGGAAUGUAAAACACUUGUUUUCAACCUGUCACUUGGUUAUUUCUGAAAAAAAAAACAAAUUAAACAUGCACAUUAUCUCCACAAUGAAUAGAAAACAACUCCAUAGAGUCAUAUUUUGUAUAUGCAGCUCCAACCAAAAGAUGUAACAGCAACAUGGAUCAUAGAAAUCACCAUUUACUAACUGGACAUCUCAAUCAUUAACCAACAUGGACCCUGGUUCAUAGACUGAUGAAUGUCUCAAGUUUCAACAAGUCUCUUGACACAUUGUAAAAACAUCAAAACAGGUCUAUCAUACCAAACAUAGUAGUUGUCAGGAAUGUAAAAUAUGCUCUCUGCCUGUCACUUAGUUAUUUCAUAAAAAAAUACAUUAAUAUAUUGCUUCUUUAUCUCCACAUAGGACAGUAAGCAACAACUCUAUAGGGGUCAAGUGAAAUACUAAAUUACCAUGGCCAACAUAGUAACAUGAGAGCCAUAUUUUUUUUACACAGCUCCAACCAAAAGAUGUAACAGCAACAUAAUAAAAUUCAUGAUCAGUAGUUAGUUGGGCCAAAUGAUAUUAGCUCUUAGUGUGUAGCGCAUGUUGUGGACAACAAUUUCCAAAUACGGCUUUCAGAACACACGAUGAUAGCGAAUUGUGAUGAACCAGCAGCACAACUGCAUAGCACACCGACAACAACAAAAAAGAAAACCUCAUGAUGACAAAACCAAAGUAGUACAAACAGACCUGCAAGGCCAAAGGAGAUAGCUUUGGCCACUUAAGCAGUAUAUCUGGUGACAGGUGUCACUGCAGCCAUGAAAGGCCAUUACCAGCAGAAACUUUCAGUACUACUGAAGCAAUAUAAACAGGGAACACAUCCAAGGUAUCGCAAGUCCUAACAUAUAUGCCUAUUAAAAUGUCUAACCACAAAUCGAGGUGACUAAGAAAAUGUCAGCUUGAUACCUUCUAAACAGUCUCCAACUAGACUGACCAUACUGAGCAGUGAACAUCAAACAUCACCACCAGUGAGAUCACAUUUGCGCCGCCAGCAACGUCCCCAUAGAGUAAUCCUAAUGUACCCCCAUCCAAGCCAGCCCCCAAAUCAACACACAACAAGCUCAACGAAUUUCAGAAAGCACACAUCAAUACUAUCUCACAGCAGGAGCAGCAGCCUCUACCCUCAGCACUGGACACAGGAAGAACACAAGCAGGAGGAGGAAGAGGAAGAUGAAACGGGCGAGCUGAACUCACAGCGAGUUGGCGUGCUGGAUGUCGGCCUCGAGCACCUUCAGCGAGUCCCUGAACGACCUGCCCAUCGACGAACUCCGCCGCCGCCGUGACCAUCCACCAAACCCAAAACCUCCCCCCGAACCCUACCUCCCGAUCUCGCAGCGUCACCUCGCCGGCUUCCUCCUCCUCCUCCGGUGGUGUACGGCUCGGCUCGGGGUCAGGUCAGCUCAAGCGGCGGCGGUCAGUGGGGCGAGGCAAUUUAAAGCGGGGGAUGGGUGCCUUGCGUGCACGGGAGGGAGGCCGUACUACGGAGUCGAUGACAUGUGGGGACAGCCACCCCGGGCCCACGCGUCGGUGACGGCGGGGGCGGUGGGGACAGCCGCGUGGGGCCGGACGUCAGUGAGUGUGGGUAGGGUGGCGAUGAGACAUGGCCCGGUGGGAGGGGAGGGGUGGGGCCCAGGGAAGGUUGCCACGUUCGCUUCUGGAAGGUGCGAUGAGCUCGCUAGCUAACCCCAUGUCCGUUUUUUUUGUUUUUCUUCUAAACUUUUCUCUCCCCAUCCGAUUCAACAGUCCGUGAUAAGAAACAUUACGAGCACACGUAUGUAAUCACAGGGGAAAUUCCAGUGUUUACCAACAGCCUCAAUGUUUGUCAUAUUGUCCUCUCAAAAAAAAACGUUUGUCAUAUUGAAGAAAAAAAAUCGAAACAGUAUAUUUAUAAAUAAAAAAUAAUUUAUAAAUAAAACUUUUAUAUGUGUGUUCUUAACGGUUUAGAAGCAAAGCUAAAAAAUAAGCUACGAUGAAAAAACCCUCAAAAUCAACUCUAAAUUUAAGGUUGAAAAAUUUAAAUUUUAGUUGAUAAGCAUAAGCAUAAAUAAAAAUACGAGGCUGCAAGUUCUAAAAUCCAAGAUGAUUAUGGUGCAAACUUUCAUAACUGCGUUAAUAGCAGCAAUUCAAAAACCGGAACUGGGAAAGUGACUGCCAUGGAAAAAAAUACAAAUUAAACUCUAAAAUUGAGUUUCACAUUUUAAAAUUUGACUUUGGAUGACAAGCUAAGAUGAUUGUGGUGCAAACUUUCAAAACUGACUUAUUAACAAUUUUCAAGCCGAUGCUGAUAAAUAGACUAUGUGAGAAAAAACUUUUAACCCGGGUUUAAGUUUUAAAUUUGACAUGGAUGCUUGCAUUUAAACCUAAUUAUCCCUUCAGUGGUAGGCGUUACCCGUCAAUAGCGAGACGUCCGUGAUGAUUUAGUCAAUCUCAAGAUACGUUGGUCCAAUUUUUUUUUUGAAGGUGUUCACAGUUUUACAGGUUUAGGAUGUAUAUAUGUGUUCAUAAAGGUGAAUGUGUGAGCAUUUUUGAGUGUCUGUGUUUGCAGUGUUUCUUAAAAAAAAAGGUUUUUAAACCGUGGAUGAUAAACUAACAAGGAAACGAGUGAGGCUCCCCUUACCCAGCUCCUUUCGCUGUCGAAUUUGGUGCCAUUUUGUGUGAUUAACCUGCUUGCACGCGGAUGGGAUUGUGUUCAUUAGUUCUAUGUUUCCCUUGUCACGAGGCUAAUGCUGGUUUCCCAGGGAUCGAGUGGAUGGUUAUGGUUACAUGAGUAGUUUGGGAAAUUGAGGAGCAUUGAGAACAGUAAAAUUAGCAGUAUCAACCACUAAUGCAAAUGGAUGGCAUGAUUGGAGGAUGCUUUUAGUCUGAACAAGUGGUAGGAGGAUAUUUUUCCUUGGUGAAAAAAAGGAUGCAAUGGUGCAUGAAUGUGAGAGGCAAUGUGAGUUACAAGUAAAGUGAUGACCUUUUUUGUCUUCUGGCAUGAAAGUUGUCGGAGCAAUCACACACCCACCUUCAUCAAAAAAGAUCAAAAUAUCUUUGCUUAAUCACAUUACUCUUGAGUUCUCCAAAAGAUUUCAUGUCAUAUCAACUGUACAUUGAGUUGAAUUGCAGCAAUUUUUUUUCACUUUUCAGCACUGAAAUCAUCUUGCGAAAUGGGAGAUGACAGGGAGUCGCACCCAAUUUUGUGUAAUAGUCAAAUACAAGCAGUUUAAUUAUGUUUCAAAAAUUCGAAAUCAAUACCUUGCUUUAACCAUACCCAUCAAGAUCGCUAGAAUAGUUUUGGCUAAAUUCAUGGAUGGUGCUAAGAACACGCAGUCCACAAAACCACAAGAUCAUACACAGUGCUUCAAUUUAAACAAAUUUAGCUUUAGGUCCAGCUUGGUAGGGCUCUCUAUCUUGAAUCUGCCUCUUUCAAUGCGCGGAUGAGAUGGGUGAUACGGUACUGGAGCUUCUCGUUCUCUAUGAUUAGCUUCUUGUUCUACAGAGAUCGUUCAUAGAUAUGGUUAUAUAUCAAACAGCUGUAUGAUGGUGACAAUUGGUGACAUUUUCAAGCUAGAUGAAUACCUUUUCCUUUUCAGCAAGACAUUCUGUGUUAACUGCAUCAAGCUUUGACUGAAGAUCUUUCACGGCUGAUGAAUUUGUCUCUGAACCACUCGUCAGGCCAUCUGAUAAAUCAACCAUGUAAACGAACAAUGAGGCAUUUCUCUUACCAACAAGCACCUGUGAAAUGCUACACCCAUAUUUAACUUACCUUUGUUCAGCAGCAAGGCUUCCAGCUUUGCUAAACGUGUCUACAAGAUGAAAGAAACAGCGUAAGAUAUGGGAACAAAACAUUGAGAAGACCACCUGUACCUAUUUCGCAUUCGUGUAACCACAGCAACCAAGCCAGAUGAGAAUGCCAUUGCUUUCGAUGCGUGGCUGGUCAAACACAUCAAUUCAUGCUGACUGACAAUAAAGAAACAUAGCCAUGCGGCAUACCUCCCAGGACAACUAUCAGUCUAAAACCACUGAGUUAUCCAGUAGACGUUGGUAGGUAUUAGGUAAUACAGCAACAAGCCAAAUUCUCAAUCUAAUUUAGGCACUUGCCGUGGCAUGGGGGAAAGCUAGUCCUAUACUGAAAAGGAUCGCGAUUUGUAAGUCUGAGGCAUACAUUAGAAUUUAUUAACAUAUGGAAUUAGGUUGUCUCUAUUAAAGCAGACCGGAGGUGAGAACUUGUCUUUAUGUAGUACAUAUCACGCAGACCUCGCCCUAAAACAUCAUUACCACCAUACUCUAGAUAACGCAAAAAUUGUACGUUUUUUCGAAGUUUCCUCAGGUUCUUUCAUGCCAAAACUUUCAAUUGGUGAUCAUAUGGAUUAUCCACUGAAAUCAGGUAACACCACCAAGUCAUAAAAGGAUAAUAUAAGAGCAAAGGGAAUCUAAAAUAUGCUAGCACUAGCUACUAGUUCAUCGCUCAACCGAUUUGACUUUGCUCCAAAUCAAGCCCACCAUACGAACUGACCAUCUAUGUUCUAGUUUCUGGAAAAGUAAAAAUUCUUACUAGUUCCAUUUACUUCCGCUCUUAGCAACAACGAACGAAUUUAACAACUUAAUAACCUAAUAACAACUCUGACCACAGCGAAACGAAGCGCGGAUAGACGACGGUCAGGAACUCAAGGAUACGAGAGCGCGAACCUCGGCAUCGGAGGCCCUAUCGUGGAAGGGCCUGAGGGCCUCCUCC